GAAAUUGUUGUUAUCUUUGAGUUGGUCAGUUGUUGCUGGGAAAAUGGGGAUGAAGUUGAACGGAUUAGCAAGAUGAAGAGGAUGAGAGAAACGAGGGCGAUAAGGGCUAGCUUGAGAGUACAUGUGAAUUGGGUUUUGGAUCUCAUGGUUUCUUGAUAGGUAUAGUAAUGGUUUUUUCUUCCUAUGGAGGAAGGGAGAAGACAGGGCUUUGAAGGUUGAUAGAUAUGAGUUUGGUCUGAAUAGGAAUUUGGGCAUUUAUUAUGUGAAAGAGGUCAUGUUGGAUAUCUUAAUUAGCUUGAGAGGAAAGUGAAGCAAACAUGGUGUUGAAACUUGAAAGAGAAUUGAUUAAGAACAGGUAGCACACGAGAUCCAUAGUCAUGACUUAUGAUGUGUCACAUACACCUACUACUAGGAAUCAUUUGGUGGAGAGCACCUACCAGAGGUUGAGCUGGUUGCUGUGUUUCAUGGGUUUAUGGUAUCUUAAGAUAUACUUUUUUUGUAAAGUCAAUUCUAGUGCCACAUGCAAGGGAUUACUUAUAAGUUAUAAGGAAGGAGGGCAGGUAUGGUGAUGGAAAGGAUUGUCUGUUAUGAUUUGGGAGCAUAUUAAAUCAAUUGUAUGAAUUGGAUAUCAAGGAAAGAAGUUUGGACCCCAAGAUUUUGACAUGAAAGCUACCUUGGUACCUUACUACAUUUGAGUGCUUAAAUAUUAUAUCUAGGGGUUGUUUAAAACAGUUAGGACCGCGAUUUAACUCAUUAUUGUGGUCUAAUAGAAUUUAAGAUAAAGUAGUCAUAAAUUUCAUAAUUUAUUUAUUUAUUUUUUAUAAAUAAUCUUAUUGAUCCACAAGAGUGAGUUAAAUCACUUUUAUGAGUGAUUUAGAUAGCUCACUUUUUAUAUAUGAUAUUGAACAUUUGAGAAGGGUUUUCUUCCUUCAAGCGGCUGCCACCCUCCUUUGGGCGGUUCUUCCUCCUCUAAGGAGGAGGCUUUACAGUAGGUGUUUUUACUCACAAUAUGUGUGUUAUCUACCACAGUCGAUAGUUUUAAUACUCACAUAAGUAGGCUUUUCUUCUUUUAGUCUCAGUUUCCUUUGAGGCCAUCUCCGGCUUCUCCGUCCACCGUUGCCUAUGUCUCUAUCAGACAUCUCACUUAUCAGCUUACUUCUACUGUUUUUAUGUGUUGUUUAGAAGCCGCCAACAACUUCUAAAGUGCAAGUGAUUUGGGCAUCAUCCACAUACAUUCACCACACAACCUUACGACAAUGGAUGACUGAGUCAUUUCACUUAUAAACAAUUCAACUCUUACUUUUCCAUCCAAUAUUGUUUGACUUCUUUCAUUCACACUUGUAGUUUAAAGGAUUUGAGUAGUUUUGGUAGAGUUUUCAUUAAGCAAGCAUUUAGCACAAAUUUUUCUUUGAUUUAGAAAUCCUUGCCUAGUCAAAAUUAAUUUUUGGAGAAGAAAAUUGAAAAAGAAGAUGCAAACAUUACAUGCUAUACAGAGUUGAACAGAAAGUACCAAACCUACAUGGUCCUUUGAAAAGAUUCAAUUUCAAAAUUUAUCACAAUCGCAAGUAAAAUGUACCAAAACCACUGAAUCUGGAUUAGCUCAUAACACAGUCCCAACAUGAAUACAAGAAGCACAAGGAAUAGAAACUUGGUUCAAACUGAAGCAUAUAGCUUCGCAACAAAAGAGAACUGCUUGAAACCAUUGCAGCUUACAUUUCAAAGGCAAAGAACGGAACCUAGGAAGCCAAUGCCAAUUCCUCCCGGACACCAACUAAUACAAUAUCUCUGGCCAUGUAUAGCAGCAAAUGCAGAUUAUCCCUUCAUUCCAAAAGCAAUAAACAUGCUCAUACUAACUUAUGGUAGCACACUGGCACAAAACGUCUAAACAUAAGAACAAGCAAGCGCUGCAUUUCCACCCAAUUCCUUGCUUCACCCUCUUCCCACAACCAGAUACAACUUACCCUCACUGUCACUCACGCACUCAGUAACUCACCAAGGGGUCUCUCCCACCUUCCACUAUCCAAAUCGAAUCUCACCAAUGAAAACGGUUCAGGACUUCAGGUGUGGGGAAGCUUGUCGCGGAGAAUUGGACCAGAGCUUCUCAAUUUUGUUCUGUUCGACAAAACACCUCUCUCUUUUUUUUAUCUUGUCCACUAUGAUAAGUCCCACAUCGAAGAGUGACUAUCAAUUGUCACGGUUUAUAAACCUCGCUAACACACUCGAGAACAUCUCGCGGGGCAUGGUGUUGGGCAAUACCACGUGUUUCUCUGAAACCCUAAACCCACCUCGUUCAGAGGUUUCAGAGUUUGUGGGUCUUUAACCGGAGUUUCCCCACGCGCUUUAAUAAAAGAAACUCCGAUGCCUUACACGUGUGAGUCCAACGUGGAACCCUGGGAGGGGUUUGCAGGUAGUGGUUGCCUACAUCUUCUGAUGGUGUAUCGCGAUCACUGGUUUCCUCACUCCCUCCCCCAUGCCCCACCUUUUUAUUUGGUAUUGUAGGCUUGUAGCGCGGCGUAGCACUCCUACAUUGAAAAUAUAAAUUAUACCAUCAACGGGUUGAUUCAUAGACUUUUUCCUCCUUAACUCGUGUGUCUCCUACUCUUAUCACUUAAGUCAGAUUUGUCGGGAAAAAAAUGGAGUAGGGCUAUAAUGGAAGGAAGUUUUUGACCAAUCACAGCGAUUCUUACCAUUCGUGAAGGUUUUAUUAGUAAAGACAAGCAUUUCCUUAUAAUACUAGAGCAACACUUUGUUGAUUGAGAAAUGACGUUUGGUACGAAAAUGAAUUUCGUUUCUACCACAUGGAUUGUUUUUAUUGGUUAUUGAAAUUGAAGACAAUACAACCAAUUGCCCAGAGUUUUAAUGGUGAAAAGUAAUUGAACUAAAAUGCAACUCGAGCCAUAUAACAGGGCUCUUGUUGAUUAGAAGAGUUGCUUUCAAAAAACUUGGAUCUUAUUUGACAUUUUAGAUUCAUAAAAAUAUUGUUAAGCAACCAAAAUAAACAAAUCCAAUGCUCUUUUUUUCUUCUUCUAACGGUGUUAUUUAAGCUUCUCAAGAAUGUGUCACCAUAUGGGUUACCACCACAUGGUUUGAAAAGUUAGAAAUGGAAAAAUAUUCUAGAAGGCUUUACACCACAAAGAAGAAAAAAAUAGUUAUUUUAAUCUUCAAAUUAGUUUAGGAUUUGUUUUAUCAUUUUCAACCAAAUCCACAUGCAACUUCACUCAUCUGUUUAUUUUAAGGAAACGUGCUCAAAUUCAUUCAACAAAAGAAGAGCUAAUAGCGGAGGUGAGAAUACACUCCAAACUAACUCGUGCAAAUUUAGCCAUAAAGUGUGCAGUUAAACUAGCUUUUUUUUUUAUACAUCGGAAAAUGUUAAACUAGCCUUUCACUCAUCUGUUUAUUUAUUAUUUAUUUAUUAUAUACACUAAAAUCAUAUUUUUGGCCCAUAAAAAUUUGUUGAGGGUAAAAUACACGCAUCCACAUAUACCCUCGGAGCCUUUUGCCCUUUUGAGAUAUUUAGGAAAAAUGUACAAGUUAAAAUUGUUCACUACAUAUAUCUUUCAGUUAUCACUAAUCACGAAAAUAGUACCCCAUGGCCCAUGCUACAUAGCCAAUUUUAAAAUGGAAGCUUGUAUAGAUGGGGUUCAUGCUAUACUCAUAAAGGAAGCAUAGAAGUUAAACACUGCGGUAAUAGAGAUAGAGAGAUCCAUUGAUCUGAGUCAUUCAACAACAGGUUUAAACCGUUCAAGUGCAUAAUAAUCCAAUCCCAAUAUCUUUGAAACAAUGUUAAGAGACUCAGUUGACUUAAACUUUAUGCAAAAUUAGUUCUUUACAAUUUUCUCUAGCCUACCAGGGGCUUUGUUAAUCACACAUCAAGAUAGGCUUUGUACUAAUUUCAAACAACAUAAGUUUUCAUUUACUGAAAGCUGAAAUCAUAAAAUAACUGUUGAAUAAGUAUCGAAUAAAUAAGAUAAGAUCACCUUGUAGUCCCCAGAUUGAAAUCCAGUGCUGUGAUCAAUAAAGUAAGGAACCUGUAGAGGACAACUUUCUGAUUCAUGAAGGAUACAAGUUGAUAAAUCAGAAAAUGACCAAGAACAGAACAAAGAAAAGGACACGAAAAUUCAAGCCCCAAUCAUUAUUAUCAAUCCAUUACUAUUUCCAAUUCCAGUACCUAAAAAACACAACUAAGAACUAACUAGACACAUUAUUCUGUAAAGUGGCUUUGUCAAUAUAUGUUUCAAAAUAAUUAUCAAGGCAUAAAGUCACUAAAAAUUUAAACAAUGGCAUUCAAAGGCUACUUCGUGUCCAUAGUAAUGUUGUGCUUAAUUUAAUCUUGUCAUUUGUGAUUUUUUUUUUUCCAAAUAUAAAACAAGAAUGGCAUGCAUUGAUAUUUCUUGAUCGAGAACAACUCUUUAUAGUGGGUCAAUACAUGAGCCUAGAAAAAAAGCCACAAAUAAAACUUUCUUUUAUAACCUUGUUUGGCAAACAUAUUAUUGAUUGUGUUCUCUAAACACAUGAACAACAUAAGACACUAUAGUACUAUACUCACAACAAGAAUAUUCGAUUUGCUUCAAGUUUAAAAGCAAAUUCAAGUUUUCAUGAAACUACAAUGCAGAAACGAUAAAACCAGAAUUUAGACCUCCCCUAGCAGGUUGGAUAUGUUUCUUAAGCACAUUAUCCAACUCUUUUAUGAACCUCUCCAUGGCUUUAGAUGGUAAACACAUUGGUGUUAGUAAACCUUCCUCACCUUUAUCAUUUUUAAAGGGAACGUUAAAGCUUGCUAAACUAGGUAUUGGCCCAAUUCCUCCCUUGGCAAGGCCUCCAUAAAUAGCAUUUCCCCACCCAAAGUCCACUCGCCUAAACCCAGCAAGCUUCAAAUCUGACACAAGAAACGAUUUUUCCAUACUGAAGUGUGGUCGUCCCUUAAUGGCCAUUAAAUCUGCCAAUGAAUGCAUAUACUCCCUAGUGAUAUUAGCUUUUGCUUUCCUCACUAAAUCUACUGCAUAUCCCAAUGGAUUUUCACAUAGCUUCCCAGCAGUGGUAAUCGCGGGAGAAAUUGCAAAAGCAUUGCCAUAGUAACCGGUUGGUAAUGGAGAGUCAAGCUUGGCACGUGCAUUGACUAUGCAGAGUAUGCGAACCUCCUCAUCACUACUUGGUUGCAAUGCUACUGUGCGGCAACGCCAAACAAAUGCAGUGAGAACUUCAAAAUUUGUGCAGCGAAGUUGGUGGGAAGGAAGGAAACUACGAAUUGUAGCUAGCUCAGUGGGACCAAAGAAGAAAGACUUGUGGACCAUGUCAUCUAGGGGGAUGGAAAUUUACUUGUUGUAAGGUGUUUGUUCAUCGUAUUCAGGAUGAGUGCAUGUCACCCUUGGUGGGUCCCUUGCACUUAGAAUCUCUCUACGCCACACAGGGAGGAUGGAAGGUUGGGGCAUCCCACGAGCAAUUUCUCCUACGGCACUCAAAAAUUGGACCAAACCAAUGGCGUCACACAUGGUGUGGUUUAAUCGAAUAGCGAAAAUGAAGCCACCGCACUUGAGGCGCGUUACUUGUAUAAGCAGCAAGGGUGUGUUGAGCAUUUCGUCAGAUCCAGGAACUUCAUACAGGAGCUCUUCCAUGCAUGGGAAGGGAGUCUGAAGAUUAUCACCAAAUUCGUUAAGAGUGACAUCUGCAUCGGCUUCAAUGAAUAAAACACCUUCUGCAGUGCAAUCCACCAUGAGUUUCCUACCAGGCCCUUCCCUUAGCCUACCUGCAAAGGGAUAGUAAAACACAAGUGUUUUGGCCAAUGCUUUUCUAAUGGCAUCAACAGGGUCCUUCCCUGCCAUAGAUGGAUUGUAGCGAUAGAACUGUGCCACUGGAAUUUGGAACCGUAGGCCAUCUUGGUCAUCAAUGUCUGAAAGAAGCUUCACCUCACGAGGUGUCGCUUCAGCUGGACCAACAAGCUCCGGCUCACGCCUUCGCACCGUAAACACCAUAUCAGAUUUAGAUGAUGAUGAUGAGGCCGCCAUCUAUAAUGAUCGAUUUAUCAAACACACAAGGAAACUAAAGGGAAAUGAAUUUCUUUCUGAUAGACAAUGGUUAGUUCUACUUGGUAGUGGCUGUGGUGGAUGCUGCUACUACUACACUCGAACAUAUAUAUGAUGUGCUGUGCUGCUUAAUUUAACUAUGAAAACAUUGUCAAUAUCAACAUGCUAGGAGGAGACCACGUGAAAAUUAUGUGUUUUUUUUAUUUUAUUUUCAUCGCAUAUGUUGUUUUUAGACCAUGGUAUAUAUUUUAAAUUUUAUUCAUAGCACAUGUUGUCAACUUAAGUGUCCAUUUUUUUAAUCUCACAUCUCUAUCAGUUCGUGUUAGUAUAAUACCAAUGAGUGGGGUUAUAUAAUUAAAUAUAAUGCAAUAUAAAAAUAUGAUAGACGGCUGAUUGGCUGAACGACUUCAAUAUAAUUAACUUUUGGGUAUAAUUUUUAAUUGUCAUCUUCAUCGAUCCGUAUUAUUAUAUUACCAUGAGUGGAGUUAUUAUAGGUACAGUAAUAUUAUGUUCUUUUAAUUUUGAGUAAAGUAAUUUUUUUUUGGUAAAGUACGCUCACCCCUCAAGGUUUGUAUGAAUUACACUCCACCACAAUCUUAUUAACACCCCACCCCAUUUAAUACAAACUUUCUCAUGAGUAAUUUGAAAAACCCCUUAUAAAGACCGAAAACAUAUUCAAAGCCAUUUCUAAUUUUUUUUUCUGCGAGUUCAAAUUUUCCCCAUUCAAUUCAUCCAAGUCCAAGUUCUCAUUUACUUCGUGGGCAUGAUCCCCUUACAUGUCAGAUAUGGCUUUCAAGGCUAUGCCCUUCUUUUUAUCUAUUUCUUCAUAUUCAUUUAGUAAAUUAAGCUCAAGUUCAUGUUCUUAAAUCUUUCCAAAUAAUGUUGCAAGACUCAUGGUUGCCAAGUUUCUCAAAUCAACAACUUCCGUUACUUUAAAGGCUUUAAAAUUCCUACUAAAAUAUCCGAACUUUGUUAAUCAAGUCUUUCAUUACAUAAGGUUUUCAUGAUAUCAUUAUGUUUACAUAUCCAUUUUUUAUCUAGUCAUCAUCCCACAUUGUGGGUCUAAUCAGCUGAAUAUGUGAAACAUGAAAUUUUUGCAUUAAUUUUAGCUCUUCUAAGAAUAUUUAGUCACUUUCCAUCUUUCUACGACCCCUUUCUUUGUCUUCCUCUGCCUCCAUGACCACUAUAGAAUCCUGCCACCAACCACCCUUAACCACCGCAUUCAAACAACCACCACAUCUUUUUGUUUUCUACCAUAAGGGGAGCUCACCUCUCUCUUUCUGCACAUAAAUGAAUGCAGUGUUGCAUGUUGACAUGUUGUCAGCUCCCACGAACCCAGUUCUCGCAUAAUGCCACCUAAACUCUUUAACCUCUUCUGCCUCCCCAAAAUUUCCCAACUCAAACAAUAUUCCAGCCUUUAUUUUCCUGUUAAAAACCAUCCUCAUUUUUUUGUAUGCCAAGCUAAUUAAGUUUGGUUAGAUAUCUAUGCCAAACUAUACACCUGCUGGUGUUCUCUAUAUUAUAUGUGGAAUCAUAGGAAAGAAUCCCCGCUGGCAAUUUAGUGUUAGAUAUGUCUUGAGCUGAAAAAUACCUAUCUGAAAUUCUGAAUUGAUCAAUUGAGCUAAGAAGAGUGACAAAAACAAAAUAAGAUAAAUUCUUAUAUCCCAAGACUCUGAACCUAUCAGAUUUAAGUAUAUAGGAACUGUCAAUAAUAACAAAAUUUAAGGACAUAGGCUUUUUAGCUACGCUCCAGAGAACAACCGUGUUUAGAUUAACUUAUUGAAAUAUCAUCUCACAUGACGUAUACAUGACAAUUUAAUCUUUCUUUUCCUAUCCCAUCAUAAAAAAGUGAUGCACAAGUAUUUAUGAUCAAUGUAUUAAAUCUCCUGUUUGAGAAUUUUUUAGCAACUAAAUAUUUUCAAAUUAUAAUUACAAUAAAAAAGUGAAACAAAUCUCAAUAAAAGGUAUAAUUUACCUUUGUAUCACUACUAACAUUUUUUACUUUUAACGACAUCAUGAUCUGCCGUCGUUAAAGUUAUUGCUAAAAACGCACUAGGAAUCAGUUCUUGUCUGUUGUCAUAAAGAGUUCAGUUUUUAGGCAACAUAUUUUUCACUACACUAAACAGAGAUUUGCUCUUUCCUCCUCCUCCUUCAGCGUAGCGGCCAUAGCGCGCUAUAGCGCUAUUGCGGUUUUGGGGCUUGCCGCUACGCGAUGCUAUCCACCAUUAACAACACUACACUAAAUAAGUGUUAUGUAUCUAAUAAUAGGGAUCAAUGAUAAUUGUUGCAUUGAAUUUGCACAUAAUAGGUUACACUUUCACACAACGUUACCAUAAAUUACUAGAAACCGUUACCAAAGAAUAGGUAAUGUCGGAACAUGAGACCGCCGAAAACGAUGCGCAAACUUUAGGAGACAUUUUUCGUGUCUAUGACUACAAUUUUGAACUGUUGCUAAAAGCAAAAACUGUUGUAGUGUAUGUUCAAGAAAUUUCGGUCAUGUUCUGGCCGAUCUAAAUAGGCACAAAGCUCAUUCUCGUUUUGAGCGCCCUAAGGUUUCACAACUAAGUGAACAUCAUAUUGGUUAGUCGGGACGACCAAAGGGGGACUCAUCUCGUUUGACGUCACUCGAGCAGAAAAAACCGACACAUUUGCUAAACAAGUGUAUUAGGGCUUAUCGACACCCCACCCCAUUUUUAUAGAGACAAAUUUAGUGACGAAAAAAUAUUUUUCAUCAAUAAUUAGUUAUAAUUUAAAUAGUUGAUAAAUAAUUUCAAAAAAUAUUGUCAAUAUAACCCAAUAAAUUUAAAAACGAAAAACAUCUCAGUCCUCCUUAUUCUCUCAAUCGUGUUCUUCCUCCGUAAAUUCACAUUGCAAUUUCUGCAAAUUCUGCAAUAGCACACCAUAUCGGUAGACAAACCAUUUCUUGAACAUAGUUAAACAUGCUUGUGUUUUCAUUUCUAUCUUUAUAUCUGGCAAUAAUUCAAUUUUAAUUAAAAUAAUCACUUUCCCCGACAACAUCAAUGGGGAGGUUCACACGAAGUAGAAGAACAAGUACUGUCACCGGUGGAGCGAGGUGGGGUUUGGUCAAAUCCUCUUGGGUUCAGGUCGCAACAAAACUUUGAGGCAUGGUGAUGCCAUGGGGUUUUACGUUCUGGAUGGUGGUCGCCGUGCUAAAGAGAACAAAGGCUUGGUGGUGGUUGUUUGUGGUGAGAAACAUGGUUUGGAGAUGGAAGGGGCGUGGGCUCGACAUGACAUGGUGGAUGAUUUUUUAAAUUUAAUUAAGUAAAAUUAUUUUCAUAAAUUAAUGUAUCAUAGUCUAUAUGCAUUAAAUUUAUUAAAAUUUUAACUAAUUAGUAAUUAUUAGUGACGAAUUUUUUUCCUCACUAAAUUUUGCCUCUAUAUAAAAUGAGGUGGAGUGUAGUCUUUAGAUAAGAGUGGAGUGGAGUGUCAUUCUUGCAAACCUUGAGGGGGUGAGUGUAUUUUAGUCUAUUUAUUAAGGCUUAACUGCACUUUUGGUCCCCCACUUAUACCAAUUGUGCGACUUUGGUCCUCAACAAAAAAAAUUAGCAAUUUUCGUCCGUCUAUUUAUUAAGGCUUAACUGCACUUUUGGUCCCCCAUUGGUGAGAUACAUAGAGGAUUCAUGGGAGAGAGACGCUGAGAUUGCCCUUUGAAUUUUGGAUUUUUCUUUUAAUUCUCCUCUGAAUUCGUGACAUUGCAUGUGGGUAUUGUGUUAAAGUUUGAAACUUUUGGUUUUUGUGGCUGGAUUUGGAUGAAAAAGAAAUGGUUUUUUUUAUUUUAUGGACUGGAUUUAGGUGUUCUUUGUGUGUAUCCAUGAUGCAGACUGAUUAUUUCUCUCUUUCUAAAAUCCUAGAGUCAAUUUUGGGGGUUGUUGGGUUUGGGGUAUGUAUUUCUGGUUUUUUCAAGAUUCAAAUAAAUGUGAUGAAGAAGAUGAAUAAUGGAUGAUGGUUGCUGGGAUUUAUUAUUUUAAAUUUAUUUUUUAUCCCAGAAACCGUUAAAUUUUGGAUGGAAUGAGACGGAAAACUAAAAGUGCAAACGAUAGGUAACGUGGGGGAUGAAAAUUGCUAAUUUUUUUUGUUAAGGACCAAAAUCGCACAAUUGAUAUAAGUGGGGGACCAAAAGUGCAAUUAAGCCAUUUAUUAAACAAAACCACCUAUGAGAGGUUCACUUCUGAGGGAAAAGUGAUGAGUAAUGAUCAUUGGUGAUAAAAUCAAGGGAAUGGAUUUUAACAACUUCAUAAUUUGUUAUACAUCUGGAUGUAUUUUAUCAUAACAUCAUCCAUUGGUUUACCAACCAACAAUUAUAAAGUCCACACUUAUCCCUCUUCAAUGCACUUCUCAUUUGCACUGUUAGGUUCAAGUGACAAGGGGAGGAGAAGGUUUUUGAAACUAAUUUACUUUUAUACCCCUAUAUAUGCUUAUUCCUUGUUUUGUUUUGUUGUCAAGUAAGGAUAUUUCAGUCAAUGAAUUAAAAAUAUUUAAACCCAUCUUGUCUCACUUCAAAACCCUCCAAAAUUGGAGGGGAGCUGAAAUUGAGUAUUGGGGGGAGCUAAAAUUGAGUGUUGGCCUCUUCCAUUCCCCUCCUUUCUCUUUCAUUUCCCCCAACCUAACUAGGCAACAAUCAAAAUUUCAAAUCUUACUUAAGAAAGGCGCUUAGUGCAGUAGUAUAGUGAAAUUGUCUGACAUGACCACAAACUAAUUAAACAUGUCCAACUCUAGAAAAAUAACCAACAUAUCUAGAAUCUACACAUGCAAAAUUCAUUUCAAUUAAACUCUGCAAUUUGGUAAGUUCCAUUAAAUUCUAACCUCUUUAGAUCCAUAAGCAUCCAAGAGUAACUUCAUUCUGUGAGAUCCUUCUCCUACAUUUUGAAGGAUGUAAGGAAGUUCCAAUUCGCAUAAUGCCUCUCGCACAAUUCUCGCAUUCUGGAAAGUGAAAUUUUAAAUCUAUGAAGUUAGAGGAAGAACUGUAUACAACUACAUAGUGGACAGUAAGAUAUUUGAUGUUUGCAUUUCCUUCACAAAUUGGAGAUAGAAAAGCAUUUCUUACAGGGUUAUUUUCAUAUGAGAAGAGCUCUAGCUUUCCAGGAGGAGGAUCAGGCGUGGAAUGUUCCCACAAUGUCAUUCCUCGACCAGCUCGUAGUAUUGUUGGCAUCCAUCCAGUGAAAACAGUGCUGCACAAGGGGGUGUUAUAAGAGCAAAUAAAAUUAAAUAUUUCUCUUUAUUAAAGCCGUGCAAGGACUAUGGUGGAGCAACCUCAGCAUAGAUAGUCUCUGGUAAAAUUUACCAUCUCUGUCACAUGACUCAACAAUUAUACUUGCUUAAGAGAACCUACUCAAUGCUCCUUAAUAAUUACUUGCUCUUUUACGCUAAGACACGAGGAACAUACUAUUUAUGUCAGCCGUCAGCCAUUGCAUGCUAAUAUGCUUUCAUGUAAAGAUAUUAGUAAAUAUUAUAGUCCUUCCUAAACUAUAAAUGAAUUUAUUUUUUCUGAUGAGAUUGAACUUAACUUUCCUAGCCUAAAACAUGUGAUUAAUAAUAUCUUAUAUACUUGUCCAGAAACAGAUAUCUAAUACCUCUCUAAAAGUCCGAAUGAUGGACUUCUACCUUCUCCAUAUUGCUCAAACAAGUAUUUCACAAUAUCACCUAUAGCAAAGAAACGGAUGCAGGCAUUUAGCAUCAGUUAGAAGUUGGAGUAAGAGCUACAAAUUGUUUAGUAAAUUAAAUCACAAACGCAUCAAAAGAAAAUCAGUACACAACAUUCAAUGGAUUGAAUUAAUUUAAAGGAUUUAUUAAGGCAAGUGAAGCAGGAAGUCAGGAACAAGAUUGGAAGUGAACCAAUCCAAGAUUGUUAGAAAAUGUGGAGAAGAAGAACUGUAAGCAGUUAAGGUGAACCUAUCCAAACUAGUAACAACUAUUAAAGCGGUAGUGAUUUAGAGCAUUGCCACUAUAUACAAGAUAAGCAGCAAAGGUUUGCAGAAUGAACAAGGAGAAAGCUUCCUUACUUACCACUUUCAUAAAUAGAAAUACCACUCUUUUUAUCAAUAAGGAAAGGAAACCUGUAAAAAGAACAUAAUCAAUGCAUGUAUUCAGUAGAUUUUUUUUCCGAAAAGAUAAGAAGAACAUCAAACAGUUUCACUGGAAUUAAUCAUGUUAUACUAUGUACAUACACAACACAAAUGUAAUAGAAAUCAAUAUGCAAGUUCUAUAGCAAUUUCUUCUUAGGAUUAGCAUAUAUAAUAUAAUACGGAAAUAUACUGACAAAAAAAAUCGAGAUAUGGAAGUCAUAGGGCAUAAGAAGAGUUAAUCAGAAUAGUCAUGUUUGGGAGGUUAGAGGUAGGAAUUGACUUAAAUAGGAGGAGAGGGGACAUCCUGAUUUGUUAUCAUAUGGAAGCUGAGCAUUAUCUCUGCAGUAGAAAGGGGAAAUCCUUUCAAGGAAAAUUUCUCCCUAGGUCUCUGUUUGUAAUUCAAUAAACACUACUCUUUUUCUUUUUCCUUUCUUUUUUGUUUCCUGGUGCCUAACAGAUACCCCAAAAUCUGGUUUUAAAUUUUAAUAUUCAGCGUUACUGCAAAUCAAAUAAUAAACAGAUAAUAAGAAACAAGAUGUCAUAAAGAACAACAUACUGCUCUUUGCCACCAGUUCUUCUAACCACCUCUCUAUGUCUUACAGAACCUUUAGGACACGGAUAGACCUAUUGAUGACAAAAAGUCAACCAUGAAUCAAUUUCUCAUGUCACAGAUAAGUAUAUUAAUAAACUAAUUUCACUUGGAAUUUGUUUGAACAUCAGUGGUUCAAAAGGAGUUAAUAGAAUAAGGAUUAUGUUGGUCAAAAGCUAAAACAUUAGAUUCAACUGCUGUACACAUCGACCCCGAAAUCUAGGAGCCUAACUUAAUGAUUUAAUGUGAAAAUCAGUUAUCUGUUGAAACAGACAAAAUUCAGUCAAGGGAAAAUUAGAUAUUGAAUGUGGCCGUAAGUGUAUGUGAUCUAUCGGCAGCUAACCUCUACAGAAAGAUCUAAUUCAGUCAGGGCCUCCCGUACUCUUCUACAAAAGGGACAUGCCUCUGUUGACAAAUAAUGUUUAUAAGAUUUAACAUGGGAUGUUUACAAACUUCAAUGAUAAUAUGACAGUAAUCUGUUAGAGUAAAAACAAAAAUGAAAAAAGAAGUUUGAGAAUCUCAGUAUAAAGGUAAAGUUCAGUUUAGGACUAGUAAAACAAACAACUUUUAUCACGGUUUACUACUAUCAAUAUUGAGGCCAAGACCAGUGCAAAGCAAUAUUAAUAUACUCAAAACAAAGAAAUUAACUUUAAGAAUGUUGACAAAAUUUUAAUAUUAGCAAUAGCAUCACCAAGGAUUCUUCCUUAAACCCAUCAAAGAGAGGCAUAAACGUACCAAAUUCAAAAAGCUGCAAAUUAAUAGGAAGAUUUGAAGGGAUCUCAUUGUUUGGUGAACUCUCAGCUAUGGAUUUCCUUCCCCAUGCAAACCUUGACAUGCUAGCAAUGGAAGAUGUUGCGAGCUAUCAUCACCAACAAAACAUCAAGGUUAGUCAGUUACAUGGUGUAUACAGAAUAUGAAGAAUACCUAGCAUAUAUUUGUCUCUAUUCUCAUUUACAUGGCACACAACUCCAACACUGAAACAGUUGAAUUUAACUAGAUAAAAAACACCUCCAAGGUACCAAACAAUACAUAACGUUGAAAUUAUAGGCUUUAGGUAGACAGUAGUUAGGAAGCCUUCUAUUACAUACACACAUGACAGAAUACAUAAAGAUAUUAAUAUUAUUAGCAUUAGCAAAGGCCCCUGCAGCAAUAGAAACAAAGUUGUAAUGUAGAUAAAGGAAGGAACAAGUACAUCUUAUAUGAUAGUAUACAAAAUGAUCAUUACUGCCAGAAUUCCCAAACUAAAAAUUAUUAGGGAAAGAAAAGUAAGAAAUAUUACAAACAAAACCCCUCAGAAAUCACAUUCUGAAUGGAAAACAUGAGAUUCUAAAAAGGGUUACCUCCAAAGUAGCAUUGCGUGGUCGAGAAGGAUCUCCGCCCUACGAGAGGCAUAUGAUGAGAAACAAUAAUAACUAAAGUUCAAAUACAAAGGAUGCAUUUUGGAAAAUAACUUUAUUAAGCACUUAUCGCAUAAGCAAAUUUGAGAAGCUUAUUGAAAUAACCUCAAAAUAUUCUUCAUAUGCUAAUCUAAACAACUUAUGAAAAUAAGCUCAAAACAACUUAUAGGUAAGGUCAUGAGCUAUUUACAUAAGUUUUUCGAAACACUUGCAUAAGUGCUUAUGCUAUAAAAUAAGCUCAAACAAGCUAGAAUAGACUCUUCCAAACAGAGCCAACGUCUACGAAAAUUAGCUAUCUUCCACAUUAACUAUGUUCAAAAUUCUGUCACCUAAUUUUCACACAUUAACACAUUAUAGUUAACUUGCAGUUCCUUUGAAUGGAUAAUCUCUCAAAUCGAGAACUGCGAUCAAAAGGUGAUUUCGCCAUUAAAAAAUUGGAAAGUUGAGUUACCGUCUUUUCCCACUCACAAGUUUGUGGUGGUCUCUUUCAGUGUGAAAUACAUUCAUGCAUACAUAAAUAAAUUCUAGCGAGACUUAAUUCUAGCCGGACUCAAUUCUGCUAACGCUGAUCGAAACACACACACUCCAUACAAUUCAAUUCAAGUAUUAUAAAUCAUUUAACAAAGAAUAUGAGUGUAGAUAGGGAGAGAAGAGUUACAGAGAGAAGCUUGAGCAAGGGACAGAGAAAAGAGAGAACAGAUGAAGGUGUUGUUGACUGUUCUUGAGUGACUUGUGCAUCUGAAUUUGACUUUGCAACAAUUCUGAACUUGGAAGAAACCCUAAUGCCAUUGCUACCGCAUUUGAAACUCGACGCUGGAACGAAGCUACUUCUAGUGGCGGGGGUUGAGGUUAUGCAACACUUCAACUAUCGAUGACAACAUUUCUAAACCACUCAUCCAGUGUUUCAGGGACUAAUUCGCAAUAACAAUUUCUUCGAAUAUUUGCAAUCUGCUCCCUGGUUUAUUUGAAUAUUACACUGUUUAGUUAAAUACACUGUCCUUCUCUUCUCUUCCCCGCAAGCAAACGCUGAUCGUGGAAGGAAAAUGAGAGGAUUGUUGUCACUCUUCCGUAGAAAACCACUCUCAUUCCCUCCAUUCUCUUUCUCUCCAUUCUCCACCUCGGAAUCCAAGCUCAAAGUCUUCAAUCGUGAACUCAAGCGCACACAGGUUUUCUUUCUUCGCUUUUUCCUUUCACUCCAAAUGCAAACCAAACGUGAAAUUCUCUUCCGCUUUGUUUUCAUUGCGUUGCCGUUGUUGAUGUAGCGCGAUCGAGCUGCAUGGUUGAUGCCGCCGAACGACCCUCUGCUUCACACUGUUGCUGAAAAUCUAUCGGAUCGCUUGCAGGUUUGCUUCCUUUUUCUCCAUUUCCCCUAAUUUCUGUAAGAAUCAGCUUCAACUCUUGUUCCUUUUCUCUUUUUCAGGAUUGUAAGAAGAAUUUUCCAACUGCUUUAUGUUUGGGAGGCUCAUUGCAAGCUAUCACGAGCUCGCUUCGUGGCCGCGGUAACAAUAACAAACUCCAAUUCCUUGUUCUGAAGUUUUUAGUAAAGCUUAGUCAUGAUUUCUAUCAUUAUGAGGAAAUGUUUUUGUAUUGAUAUUUGGAACAUUUGAUAUUUGAUCAUAAUUUAGUUUUUGAUCGAGCUCAAUGGUGUAGUGUGAUCCAUAUAGCCGACCUCAGUUAGUGGGAUAAGGCUUUUGUUGCUGUUGUUGUAUUUGGAACAUUUGAGUAGCUUUUGUGCCUUUUUCCUUGAUCCUUGUUAAGGUCACUAGAAAUAUGAUUAAAAUAAUCCUUAUAAAGGGUAGAACAAUCCUCAUCCUGAGCUUGGAUUUAGGGUAGGGUUAGACUUAACUCGAGUUUAAGAAUCCUAAUUGCUUAAUGGUGUUUAUUAAGUUUUCAGCUUACUAGGGUGAUAUUAUGAUUGAAUGGCUGAUCCCAGGUGCCAUAGAAAAACUAAUUGUGAUGGAUGCCUCCCAUGACAUGGUACAAGCUUGUAAGAAUGCGAACCACGGGUUGAACAAUAAUGGUAUGGAGACUAUGUAUUUGGUUGGCGAUGAAGAAUUCUUGCCUAUCAAAGAAAGGUUCAGGAGUUGGCUUUACUUAUAUUUGAUUAUAAUUUACACUUUAAACAUUUAAUGAUGAUUUUAGACUUGACAUUGGUUAAUAUGAAAAUUUAAAUUUUGAACUGUUGUAUGUCGUUUACAGCUCUGUGGAUUUGGUUAUUAGUUGCUUGGGGCUACACUGGACUAACGAUCUGCCUGGAGCAAUGAUACAGGCAUACUCUCUUAUACAAUUGCUGUGUUUACUGGCUUGGUUAUUCCAUGGUUGAUGUUAAUGGAGAUGAUUCACAAUAGGAUAAUAAGCAAAUGUCCUUUUUAUGUUUUGCAGUCUAGAUUGGCAUUGAAACCUGAUGGCUUAUUUUUAGCAGCUAUUCUCGGUGGAGAAACAUUAAAGUGAGUGCCAUAUAUUUAUUUACAGAGACUUCUGUGCAACAAUAAUGCACGAGUGUUUUAAUGGUACUUAUGAUGCUACCAGGGAGCUCAGAAUAGCGUGUACUAUUGCACAAAUGGAGCGUGAAGGUGGUAUCAGUCCACGAGUAUCAACCCUGGCACAGGCAUGUGUUCGUGCAAAUAUUAUUUAUUUAUCAGUUAUGAUUAUCUAUAUCUUUAACAAAUGCAAUACUGUUUAUAUCAAAUAGAUUAUCGUGGUUGUGUUCCUAUUCCUUUUCAGUUGGCACUGUGAUUAUAAACUCCAUGGUUUUGUUUGAAAGCAAGUCCCAUCGUUGAUGAUGGUUAAAUUUGAAGCAUGCAAGUUUGUUUGUUACAUGACUUUCAUGGCUACUCUCCAAGAUCUGUUGGUUAAUCUGGCCAGUUGUAACUUCAAUUAAAGAAACCAAGACUUGUAUUUUUUUUGCAAGUAGAAGAAUAAUUCUGGAACUGAGAAGAUCUUUGCUUCAGUUUUAGGUUCGAGAUGCUGGGAAUCUUUUGACUAGGGCAGGGUUCACCCUUCCCGGUGUUGAUGUCGAUGAGUAUGUAGUUAAAUAUGAUAGUGGUGAGAGUUUCCUUUUGGUUUUACUAUUGAACUAUAGUACAUGCAUGACAUGAACUAAAUGAGUUAUGAGUUCUGAAACUUUAGCUGUGUGGGAUUCUUCCAUAGUUUGGGAUUCCCAUUCUGGUUGAUGACCAAAUGAGAUAUUAUUUGCAGAGUCAUUAGCAUGGUAGCCUUUAUUGCCAGCUGAUAGUGUAUAGGAAGUAGAGGUCAUAACUCAUAAGGUACCAGAUCACCAUAGGCAGUAUGGUGGUGAUAAGGAAUAUUCACUAUGGGGAUAACCUGAUUACUGCCAGGCAGGGAGGGAUGAGAAAGGGUUGAAUCUGUUACAUUGAAUAUUUAAAAGCAGAAAGAAGGAGAGGGAGGGCAUGCAAAAACGGAGAGAGGAGUAGUGACUAUCAUUAACAAAAAAAAGGACCACUACUUUUAGUUUAACUAUGAUUAUAACUUUUGUGCUAGUUCUAUUUUUGUUUAUUUCUGUAGUAGUCUUUGUUUCAGUUAUUUCAGAAACAAUAUAGGAAAACAUAUGAUUUGCAUGUUCUCUAUUGUUGAAUAUGUAAUUAAUCUUGUAGCUUAUAAUCCAGAUUUAUUUAUGCAUUUAAUAGGAUCAAUAUAUAUUUACUUGUUGUGAUGUGGCUGGUAUACUGUAUUUACUUAUCAGCGUAUGCUUCUCCUUUCUCUUUCUCUCAACAUCUAUGUAGGUGGUUAACUGAUGAUCUUAUAUAGUAUAAUGUGAUUAUAGACUGACUAUUAAUUGUGUUAUUCGUCCUCACAACCCGAUAUACGAUGUUUGGUUGUGUAUGACUGAAAUUGAUCCCAAGCCAUGAUAUGUAGUAUUAAACCCUUGAUGCCCUGUUUGCUUCAAUUGAAGUGGAAGUGAGAGAAGUACCGGAGAGGCAACUAGAAGAGAGAAGUAGCAGUUCUGUCGUUUGGAGCUUGAAUGAUGGUGAGGAUUAGAGAAUUGAAGUGUGUAGAACCCAUGAAAAUAAAAUCUCUCGACAGAAGACGAGAGAAUGAACCAAGAGCUACUUUUUAUUUAUUUAUCAAAUAUUAUAUUUAGCCCAAACUUUUAAAAUAAGAAAUAUAAGUUUUGUCUAAGGAUAGAAGUGUCAUUAUAUCAAAAUAUCAUUUUCUUUCUUUCCACUUUUCCAUCUAUGAAACAAGUAAAGAGAAAACUUGACUUUUCUUUCUCUUCUACUUUCCCACUUCCCUUAAUUCAAACAACCUAGAAAGCUACUCAUUUUCUCUUCUCUCAUACUACUUUCUUCCCUACUUAUUCCCACAUCGAAACAUAGCCUAAAUGAAAUUUUAGAAGGCUGCUGCUGAUACAGUUUCUUUGCUUUUACUUGUGGAUAAUGUCUGCCUGUUUCUCUAAUCAAAAUAUUAAAGCUAGGAUAAUCUUAAUAGUGUAUUAAAUUGACUGGUAUUUUAUUUAUUGAAUUAUGUAUUACAUUUUCAUAUUAACUUUUAAACUAUAGAUGAAUUAAUGGAAGGUUUAUAAAUACUUCCGUUUGGACAUAUAACCUCAUAGCUAGUCAGCAACCAACCUAUUCACCAAGCUAUUGAAUCCUCUAGAUGGGUAUUUCCCAUGCAAAUAUAACCUGUGGCUGUUGUGAACUUUUGAUAGUUAAACUGCAAUAUUGAGUGAUGUGAUCCAACUUAAGCUAAUAUUAUCUUAUUGGGUGUAAGGAUUUGAGGAAAAUGAAUUGUGUAUUGAUUUGAUUCUCUCAGACCAAAAAGCUAUAGAAGGAAAAACAGAACCUUCUCAUUUAUAUUUGAUCUAAUCGUCAUUGUUUACGUCAUAAUGAGUUGUCUACUUGUAUCGAAAUUCUUUUAAGUCGUUACAUUUCCUCUAUUGAAUAAAAUAUGACUUUGAUAGCUUUGUAACUCUUGGGGUUCAUUUUUGUAUUGGUUGUUCUUGUUGCUGUUUAGUGCAGCUCUGGAGCUUAUAGAACAUCUCCGUGCAAUGGGUGAAACAAAUGCUCAUUCUCAAAUGAACACUGUAAAGUUUUUCUUUUCUUUCACUCAAAUGGAUGUUAAAUAGAUUUUCAUUUUAUCAAAUGUUGAAACCUGAUGUUGUUGCAUCACAUCUUGAAAAAAAUGUUAUGCAUAAAUGACACAGAUACUAAAGAGGGACACAGCCUUAGCAACUGCAGCUAUUUAUGAUUCAAUGUUUGCAGAAGAAGAUGGUACUGUACCUGCAACCUUUCAGGUAAUCAAAAUUGAAGCAUCAUUUGACCAUAAGAAAACUGAAAGUGCUAAUCAGAACUUUUAAUAUCUUCGUGAUGGAAUGUUACAGUGUUCUUUAAAUUCGUCAACUGUUCAGCAUGCUAACUUCGCCCUGUGAAAGCGGCACUUGCAUCAAUUUUCUUCUUGGAAACAGUUGAACUCCGAAGAACAUCUAUUAUAUGGUCUUUAUAUUUUUUGUAGGUUAUAUACAUGACCGGAUGGAGGGAACACCCUUCUCAGCAGAAAGCAAAACGAAGGGGGUCAGCUACUGUAUCUUUCACUGAUAUUCAGAAGCAAUUUGGUAGCCAGAAUUGAUUUUUUUCCUUCCUCUCCAUAUGCUACAUGCCUUAAUAAUGUUUGCCCCUUAAACAUUCACCUCAAAUCCCAAUGGAUAAUCUUGACCAAGCAUUGCAGUGGGUCAAUUUCCCUACAGUACGAGACCCUUAAUGUAGAAGACCAAUUGUCACUAGUAACUUACUUUGUUUGCUAUUAAAAUGUUAUAAAUUCUUUUUUCCUCUAUUACAUUUACUUUAAAAAACUCUUAAGAUGGUAUCUUUUGAAUGGUCAAAAAAUAAGGAUAAAAGUGUAACGCUAUCAUUAUAGAAAUAAACUCACUAUUCAUUCCAUCAAAUGCCUAUAAAAAAAACAAAACUAUUCAUUCCAUCACAUAUAUAAUCAUGUUGAUUAACACAUCGUUCAACUGUUGGACCUUGACCUCAUAUAAAAUGAAAAAUUGGCUACCGUAAAAAAACACAAUAUUUGGUAACACUAUUUGUAUUGGUAAAAAUUCAUAUGAAAUUUUAGUAAAUUGAAGUCUCACUCUUAAUUUAGUGUGUCCUUCAUAGAUUGGAAUAAUAAAACAGAUGAGGUUGAAAAACAAGGUUAAAGUAACUAUAUCAUAGAACCACGAUACUUGGGCUCAAAUCUCGUGAUAUUUGAGUGACGCUCAAGUUCGGUGGUUGUUUUCAAACACCACAAACUUUGAAUGUUUGAAACUGCCAACAAGUUGCGCUUGUGUAAAAUAUGUGAAAUUUGUAGUGAUUUCAAAUACUAAUAAUUAUGUCUAAAUAAUCACAAUUUGUUACCAUUAAAAACCACCAUUUAAUUAAUUAUUAGAAGGAUGUUUACCCACUGUGUCUACAUAAUAUUUUCCAAAAUCAAUGUGUUAGAAGGAUGUUUACUAGGUGGGGCUUUGGGAUGCAAUUGGCAUGCCCUAUUACAUGGAAAAAAUAUGCUCUCAAGUUUGGUAACUUAGACUUGAAAAGUAUGUCUUUUGUGCUUUUAACCAUGUCGGCAACAUAGACUCGAAAGUAUGUGAUUUGUGUUAUUUUGUAAUGUUUUUGCCAAUCAUGUAUAUAACUUCAAAAAUGAUUUGUAGCUCAUACUACAUCGUAGGCACUGUGCAUUGUGGUUGUUUCAAACCGAUAUAAAGUGUUUAUUUAUGUUUUUCACUUUAUAUGGUCUAAAGCUGUCACAAUAUGGGUGUCUGAACAACAUAACUUGAUCUUUAGCUUCAUGUAUCAACUUGAUUAAGCAUGUUAAACUCGUACAAGGAAAUGCAAAAGAACCUGUUUCUUCUUUUUGCUUACCAGUUAACAAUUUGGAACCAUUUACCCUCUUUCUUCUUUUUUCUUUUUUUGAAGUUUUUCCUUUUUCCCUUUCCUUCUUUUGGCAUAAAAUCGGUGAAAACAAUUAUGAGGUCGACGCAAUUAUGGCACUGGGGAUAUUUGUCAUCCAUGCAAGGUAUCAUUGUUAAUAUCACACCUUGGCUUGAAGGAACAAUAAUGAAAAAAGUCCAUGCAAAUCAACCAGAGCAGAUAACCAAGAUACAAUGGAUGUCUCCUCAUAUUUCCAUUUAGAAAUCAACCUUACUAGCUCCUCUCAACCUUUAAAAACUUUUUUUUAAAGGUUAGUUAAGUGAGUGAAAUUUUAAUAUACAUGACUUUGAAAAAAAAAAACUUCACAAAAUAUGAUAUUAAGUAUUAACUGCUAAAAAAAAAUAAGAAGUCAUAAUUUAUUCCACCAUUGCAUGGCUUGACCAUAGGUAAACAAAAAUGUAGCUACAAAUUGAAAGCAAAUACAUGAUGUUUUUCCUAGUCAAUCUUACUCUCCAUAUUAGUAGCAUGCUAGAAUCUUAAGAAUUAUUUACAAAUGUUGAUAUCAUCGCAACUAAAAUUUCUGCGGAUAAGCUGAUCUAAACAAAAGAGUUCUACAAAAUUAAAAAUAUUGUAUUACAUAGCUAUUAAUGAUAUAAAUCUCAUAAUCAAGAAAACAUCCUAUAAGUCUUUGCGGAAACAAUAAUUGUUCGUAUUCCUCCGAUAGGUGCAACGAUUGCUAUUAAAAUGCCGACAAUCGUGCAAAUCUGUAAAAAUAAUAAAAUAAUAAUUAGAUAUAUGAAUUAUUUAUAUAAAAUUAAAUUAAACACAUGUUGAAUCAAUAGUUUAAUGUGAAGAUUACUAGUGAUGCAGUCCAAUGAAAGCUCCAUCGCUUUGGCUUUUUUGCUCCAAGCCAUAAUACACAAGGAAGCUACAUGUAUGAAAUUGAAAUUAGAAAAAGAAAGACUCAUAAUAUGAGAUUUAAAAUAUGGUUACUAAUAAAUUUAAGAAUUCUUACAAUGUAUGAUGUUGAUGUGAAUGCUAGUCCUCCAAAAAACCCUAGCAAUCCUCCAAAAAAUGGAAUGCAUAUAGCUACAAAUCCUACCACAGCUACAGAAAAGAAAAUGUUUGUCAGAUGUACAAUAAUUCAAACUAAACAUUUGAUUUCCUCUCGUAACCAAAAAAAAUUAUUUAUAACAUUUGAACAUGCUAAAAAAUAUAAUUUUUAAGGAACUCACAUAACAUUAUUCAAUACAUUCUUACCUACAAACAGGCUUCGAGCAACAACACGAAGGGUCCUUGAUGGACUAAAAUCCCACCUUUGCACCAAAGAUGACUCGAUUGUAUCAAAAACCGGCAUUGCAAAAACCUUUUAGCAUGAAGAAUAUAGUUGUUAAUUAUGAUGAAUAUAUUAGUGUAAUUAGUAUACAUUAGAGGAAGCUAUUUAAACUCUAAAUGUUUGUUGACAAUGAUAAUGGAUUUAAAGUAAUUUAUAUUUGUGUACCUGAAAGCUUCCUAGAACAUGAAUGAAUACCAUGAGGUUAGCAGCAGCAAUAACCCAAUUGGGAUGUUCAAGUGAGAGAAGGACAUCAUCUUCUACAAGAUCUCCAAAUGCCCAAAAACCAGAUAUUGCAACUAAAAGAUAGCAAGAAAUCACUAUCAAGUAUGCAGCUACCACACCUCGCCACAUUGGUUUUUUGGAAGGUGUUUCCUCUGUCGAGGGCAAUGUAGCUUGAAUCUCUAAAACCACACUGUGUCCUGCAAAUGCAAAUGCUAUGGUUCCUAGCGCAUUGAAAAUGUCAAAGAUCUUCCCAGGAGUGGUAUGCGAUCGAACACCGUAAUGACUAGGAUGAUGAUAGAACCCCUUCACAAUAGAUGUGACAAAUGACACCAUGGAAUAUCUGCAAAAAAAAAAAUAUAGAUUUUGAUAAGGCGCACUAUGCUAAAUACGAAAUUGAAAAAAAAAAUAGAUCAUGCAAUUAACUUGUUGUAUAACCGCGUACCCGAUAGACAUGAUUGCAGCCAACAAAGAAAUUCCUUUCAAGGUGUUGAAGUUAGGACUUUGUGAAAAGCCUAAUUGCAGGACCACAAAGAUGAGAAUGUGAUAUGUCUGUCUAAUUCCACCCAAGAAUGAAGUCAUAUCACAGAACUUCUUCAGGGACUUCCCACCAGUGACACAAUACACAAUAGUGGAAGCCACCUGAACUGUUAGCUGCUGUGGCAUUACCAUCCAGAAUCCAACUUUGGGCCCAAAAAUGUUCUCACCCAAAUCAAAGUAUCGAUCAAACCUCUUCCCCGGUACAAGUUCAUGCAUCUCCACAAGUAGCCAGAGUGUGUAAAAUGUCAAAAGCCAUGACACUACGAGUAUAAUAAUCCCUGCACUCCUACAAAAAUCAAAAGGGCAUGCCUAAGUUUCCAAUCAAAUGCACAAGUUAACAUUCUUUGAUGGACAGAACCAGAAAAAAUUGGUAAAGGGAUAAAAAUCUUAACACAUUAAGAAAAAUCAACAAAGCCUAAUUGGACAAGGUAACAAAAACUUUUGAGGGUUUGAACGAAUAUAACAUUGGAGUAAGGAAAAAUGUUCUCUUCGAAAGGCGGCCAACACAUUUGCCUUGUAUACAUACCAUCCAAGCUGGGAUACAGCAAAUGGCAAGCCUAGCACUCCAGCACCCACCAUAGCUGUUACAUUGUGAAAAGCUGAGUACCACCACUUUGCUUCCCUAGAUGCAGUGAUGGGCAACCAGCUUUCAAGGUUCUCCCCAUUAGGUGGUUCUUGUGAUCUGUUCCCACUGUUACCGCCACGCCCCUGAACCAGUUAAUGCAUCAUGAUGAAAAUUAGUAUAACAUGGUAAUGGUAAAUGAUUGAAUCGCAUUGCACCCAUAACUUGGUGAUGUGAUGAUAUAAGAAAGGAUUGAAUGAUCAGAAUAUACCAUUAGUCUACAAAUUGCAAUUCUUCACUCAAUAGGAGAGGUAUCUUCAGUAGCUGAACUUUUUCCAAGUGGUUGAGAUUUCCACAAUUUAAAGAUUCUCUUGUGCUGAAUUAGUCCUGGCUUCCUAUGUUUAAGUAAGGGAAGUAAAAUAAAAACACAUGUGUCACAUGGUUAAAACACUUGAGUAAUUCAACUGAGUACAAAGGAGUAAAAGUAGGGACUCAAAUUCACCAAAUCAAAAUCGGUUAUGUUCAAGACUUUGUAAUCUAAAAAGAUCCUAUAAUGAGGGAUGUGUCAAAGAUCAGAUAUUGAAGAUAUGGAUAAGUAUAAUUCUUAAUAACCAUAAAUUGAUUUAUACCGAAAAACAAGUAAAAAAAGCUAUGAAUUGUUCAGAUUUAUCCUUCUCCGCCUUGUAAUGAAGAAGAACAUUUCAUCUUUUAAACUAGCCCUGAUCCAAUGCCUUAGUCCAAACACACCGAUGCGGUUUUUAAGGCUUUCUUUUUCUGCAAAAAUUAUUAAAUUUGCUUCUAAGUGUGGAGAUUAAUUACCCACGCGUAUUUACAUAUUAAAUAAUUUCAUUUUUUUGAAAAUAAUUAAUAUAUUAAUAUUGUAUUUAAUGAUUAUUAUUAAAAUUAGUUUAAUAAUUAAUGUAUUAAUGUAUUAAUAUUGUGAUUUUUCCAAAAAUAAUUAAUGUAUUAAUAUUGCAUUUAAUGGUUAUUAAUGACAUUAAAAUAAUUAACAAAAGUCAAUUGUGAUUUCUUUAGAAAAUAAUAAAUGUAUUAAUAUUGCAUUUAAUGUUUAUCAAUGACAUUUGACGUUUAUUAAUGUAUUAAUAUUGCUUUUAAUGUUUAUAAAAGUCAAUUCUGACUUUUCUACCAUUUAAGAUGUAUGACUCCAAAGUUUUUUUUAAUGAUUAUGGUUAUUGUUUAUAUUACAAAAUAAAAAAGGUAUUGAAUGUAAUAUCUUACAUUCCAAAUGAUAUCAAAUAUGCCAUAAAAAAUUGAUAUCAAAUAGUUUAAAAUGAUUGAUUUAAAAAUUAACUCAAAUUUUUUUGUAAUUUAUCUUUUCAUAUAUACAUUUGGAAAAUUAAAAUAGUUUUGGUAUAUUAAUAAGGAGGUUGAAGAAUGUCCAAAAUGCAACGUUUCAAUUAAACAUGUAAAAGCCCCAGAAUGCCUUUAAAAAGUUUGAAUAAUGUUUAAAUUUGGGGGCAUUUUGGGAUUUUCGCCCAGAACAAUAGAAUUUUUAUCCCUCACGUGAAACGUUGCGUUCCAUUAAAGAAAGGAAAAACCCCAAAAUUUCCUUAAAAAGUUUAACCUAAUGUUUAAAUUUGGGGGGCGUUUUGGGGUUUUUGCACCUGAACAAUAGGGUUUUUGUCCAUAUUUCUUCCUUGCGUCGGGAUUGCAUCGUUCCAAACGCGGUUUCAGCCGCGAUCGAGGUCGCUACCUCUGCUACAUGAUUUCCACUAUGCUACAGCCUCUAACGCCGUGACCAACCCCUGAUCUGCCACGCUCUACCGUUAUUGACAACCUUGAUUUAGUGUAGUGAAAAAUAUGUUGGCUAAAACAAACCCUUUAUGACAACACACACGAACUGAUUCCUGAUGCAAUUUUAGCAAUAACUUUAACGACUGCAGAAUCAUGAUGUCGUUAAAAGUAAAAAAAUGUUAGUAGUGAUACAAAGGUAAAUUAUACCUUUUAUUGAGAUUUGUUUCACUUGUAAUUAUAGUUUGAAAAUAUUUAGUUGCUAAAAAUUUCUCAAACAAAAGAUUUAAUACAUUGAUCAUAAAUACUUGUGCAUCACUUUUUUAUGAUGUGAUAAGAAAAGAAAGAUUAAAUUGUUAUGUAUACGUCAUGUGAGACGAUAUUUCAAUAAGUUAAUCCAAACACGGUUAUUCUCUAGAGCUAGCUAAAAGCCAAUGUCCUUAAAUUUGAUUAUUAUUGACAAUUCCUAUAUACUUAAAUCUGAUAGGUUCAGAGUCUUGCCAUAUAAGAAUAUAUCUUAUUUUGUUUUUGUCACUCUUCUUAGCUCAAUUUAUCAUUAAUUCAGAAUUUCAGAUGGGUAUUUUUCAGCUCAAGACAUAUCUAACACUAAAUUGCCAGUGGGGAUUCUUUCCUGUGAUUCCACAUAUAAUAUUGAGAACACCAGCAGGUGUAUAGUUUGGCAUAGAUAUCUAACCAAACUUAAUUAGCUUGGCAUACCAAAAAAAUUAGGAUGGUUUUUAACAGGAAAACCAAAGAGGCAGGAAUAUUGUUUGAGUUGGGAAAUUUUGGGGAGGCAGAAGAUGUUAAAGAGUUUAGGUGGCAUUGUGCGAGAACUGGGUUCGUGGGACAACAUGUCAAUAACAGUACUGCAUUAAUUUAUGUGCAGAAUGAGAGAGAGAGAGAGAGAGAGAGAGAGAGAGAGAGAGAGAGAGGUGAGCCUCCUCUAUUGGUAGAAAACAAAAAGUGUGGUUGGUGGGCGGUGGCAGGAAUCUAUAGUGGUCAUGGAGGAUGAGGAAUCUAGAAAGAUGGAAAGUGACUAUUCUUAGAAGAGCUAAAAUUAAUGCAAAAAUUCCAUGUUUCACAUAUUUCAGCGGAUUUAGACCCACAAUGUGAGAUGAUCACUAGAUAAAUUAAAAAUGGAUAAAAUGUUUAUAGUGACCAAUUUAGACUCAUCUUUAUUUCUGCACUAAAAACAUAUUUAAGCCAUUACUUUUUACUUUUUAUGUCAAUAAAUUAUUUAUCUUAACUCCUUGGUCUAAUAUAAUUUAAUUAUAAUCUUAAUAAUGUAUUUAUAUUGUUUUUCUAUAUCACAUUAAUAUAUUAUAUUUUAGGGAUAUGAAAAGGGAGAUUCACCGCUUGAGUGAAUUUCUAAUUGAAUCCACUGAGGGUGGAGAGGCUAGAUAAGAAAGAUCAGUGAGCUUUAAGCUGAUUCUUGACGAAGUAAACAACCGGUUGAAUCAAACCUGUGAGAUAUUAGAAAACACAAUGAAAAUACAUAAGAUAUUCCAAAGAGAUUCAGUUACAUUGUUAUCAUCUUGACUAAUUAGGAAAACCUUAUGUAAUGAAAGACUUGAUUAACAAAGUUCGGAUAUUUUAGUAGGAAUUUAAAGCCUUUAAAGUAACGGAAGUUGUUGAUUUGAGAAACUUGGCAACCAUGAGUCUUGCAUUAUUUGGAAAGAUUUAAGAACAUGAACUUGAGCUUAAUUUACUAAAUGAAUAUGAAGAAAUAGAUAAAAAGAAGAUGAGCAUAGCCUUGAAAGCCAUAUCUGACUUGUAAGGGGAUCAUGCCCACGAAGUAAGAGCAUCUCCAAUGGUGAGAUCUUAUUUUGGGACUUAACUCACUUUUUGUGGGCCCAGAUUGUCACAUAGGAUUUAAGACACUCAUAAGGUCCCCACGCACAUUUCACUCUAGUGGUUGUGAUCUUAUUUUACUUUUGACUGGACCCACAGUACCUAAUAUAUUUAUAUUAUUUAUUUCCCUCCCAAUUUUUCACUUUGGUUCUGGUAUUGAAGGAGAGAAAAAAAUAUUAUUUUAAUUAAGAUCCCACAUUUGAGAGUACCUGAGCUAAGGCACGAAUCUUAGCUUUUGCUAAGAUCUCAUGUCAUGUAGGAUAACUCCAAUAGUGAGAUUUAACAAGAUCCGGAUCUUAUUUUAAGAUCCCAAAAUAAGGACUCCAUUGAAGAUGCUCUAAAUGAGAACUUGGACUCGGAUGAACUGAAUGGGGAAAAUUUGAACUCGCAGUAAAAAAAUUUAGAAAUAGCUUGAAUAUGUUUUCGGUCUUUAUAGUGGAUUGUUUAAAUAACUAAUGAAAAUGUUUGAGUUAAAUAUUCUAUGGUCUUAAGUGAACCAAUCACAUUUAACUUAAAUGAAAUAUAACUUAUAUAUUUUUAUUUAUUAAUUUAAGUGUCAUAUCUCUCUGACAUAAUCUCCAUUAUUUAGUAAUAAGAGAUUAAUACAUCAACCACCAAUUAAAGAUAAAAAAAACUCCAACUUCAAGUUAUAACUCAGCAGGUCAGGGUUGAGAUUGAACGUUAGGACAAUUUAAAAAUUAAAUUUAUAUUCAAAUUUUACUUAUUUUAAAUUCUCUCAUUAAAAUAAUUUUUAUUAUAUAUUUAGUUAUUAAAUUUAGUACAUUCGUAGCUUGGAGAGCUUACUCGACCAAAGGGUGGCUUGGUCUCCGGAGUAUGCGCUAGAAUAAUAAAGCUAUGUUGGACGAAAUUAGUUGAUAGUCUUCUUCAAAAGCAUGAUAAGCCUUGGUAGAGCAAUCUUGCGCAGAAUAUCUCAUUAAUAAUUUGGUGUUUUCAACUAUUUAUCGGUCAGGGGACUCGUUGUUUGAAAGGGUACCUUGAAGGACAAGAAUACUCUUUGUAAAGGGUUUAGGGUGCAUUAUUUGAGGGAUGUAAGUUCUUCUUUAUGUUAGGAACAAGAAGAUUUGUGAUCGUAUAUCAUUUGUGCAUAUUUCAGAUGUCAAUCUUUGGGCUGCUAAUUGUGUGAUAAUGGACAACAAAACUUUGUUAUGCUCUUUACUAUUAUUUCUUUGCAUAUUCUAGAUGAGUUUCAGAACAUCAUGAUACGUAGUUCCACAUAAGGAAAUGAUGUGCGAUAUAAACAAACACAAAAUAGUAUUUAUAGAACAUCCUCGACUUAUGAGUGGCUUAUUGAUGAUAGAAAUCUUAUUCAUAUGUGUGGAAAAUGAUAUAAAAGUGUUGCAUGUCUAGAAUGUUCUAUUCUUCUUAUGGUGGAUCGGGAGGAGUGCUCUUCUAACUUUUUAAGAGGCACAACCGUCAUCUCAACGUUCUUGCAAACUACCUCAGGUGUGGAGUUGCCACUGAGAAGGUGGACCACUUGUUAAGGCAUUGCCAGUGCUUGAAAGAUGUAUGAGUUGUUUUUCAUACAUCGCUACGUUGCUGGUAAUUUCAGACAUUGUAACAUUUUCUGGAUGGUUUUCAUGUUGUUGCAGCAACGAACUAAUACUCUUGUUAUUGUAGUGUUAUGGUGGCUUUGGAAAUAGAGAAACAAUUUAAUAUUUGAGGUUUGGGACUGGGAUAUGAAUUUCGUUCUUCAUUAAACUUGCUUGCUCUUCGUGAAUGAUAGAAUUGAGGCUCACUGCGUCCAACCUGUGUUGCGUUUUCUAUCACUAACACGGCAAGGGUUGCGUCUCCCAAUGGGUUGAAGCUAGUUGUGUGAUGUGAACAUGAUGAGAGCAGGAGGAGCACUUCACAAUUCAUAUGGGAGAUGGAUUUCAGGUUUCUCGAACUAUAUUAGAGAGAGAGAUUAUUUUCUUGCAAAGUUACUAAUUAUUGCAUUCGGUCUCCGACACAUAAGAGAAUUGGGGUAUCCUAAGGUCCUUUGUGUGUCUAUUUAAUUGUACGGAAGUCAUUGUUAUUCUUACUAAUGACAUAGACGUUCAUAACUACCGACACAAGGAUAAGACCGCCACAAUUCAAGCCAUAUUAGACAUGACUGGUUAGUUACUUUCUCUCAUAUUUCCCGUGAGCAUAAUCUAGUCGCAGAUGUUUUGGCUUGUCAAACUCACUAAAUGUAAGUCAUUGACAAGUAUGGAAGUUUCAUCCUUACCCUUUUUUAUUAGAGCCCUAACUACUUUCAUUAAAAAAGUAAUAAUUUUACCGACCUUGUUUAUUUUUACUUAAUGAGGAAGUGACAAGGGAAUUGAAGGUUUAUACUUUAUAGUUUAUACACAACACAACACAGUAACCAAAGGAAGAAGAAGAAGAAGAAGAAGAAGAAGAAGGAGGGUUCAUCCAUGGAGCGGGAAGGUCCUCCAUUGAACGAUCUCUGCUCAGUGUGCCAUGGAAACUUCCACAUUCCAUGCCAAGCAAAUUGCUCUCACUGGUUCUGCGCCAACUGCAUCAUGCUGGUGUGGAACCAUGGAUCUGCGAUUCAACCAUGCAAAUGCCCCCUCUGUCGCCGCCCCAUUACGCUCCUGGUUCCUACCGAACAAGACUCCGCGUCGCACCGCCAGGAACCUGAAGUCGCUCACGUUCUCUCCCAAAUUCAAACCUACAAUCGCUUCUUCGGUGCCCGUUCCUCUGGUCCCCUUCAAGUACGCAUUUUGAUUUUGACCCAUUUUAUAUUUCGUGCUCUUUUUGUUGUUUUUAUAUCAAAGUUUUGAUCUUGUUGAACAGAGAAUGCUGGAUCUCCCUUUUCUGCUGCGAAGGCUUGCUCGGGAAUUCUUGGACCCUCAGAGAUCACUUCCUCUUGUCAUCAGAGCUCGUGUUUAUAUUGCAGUAAAUUUCUUACUAUUCCAAUCGAAUAUGCUUUUGUUUCAUUUUUUUUAUAUGCAUAUGUUGUUGUUUAGUGUUCAUUUGUUCUGGUUCUUUACUUUAUAGCUGAAUUGUUAUUUAUUCAAUUCAUUGUUUGGUUGGCCCUUUAGGUGGGUGAACUUUCAGUGUGCCCUUGGUUCUAGGAUAGUUUAAUUUAUUGAUUGGUUAUUUGCUUUAAUGAUUUUGCUGCUACAACUAAUUGGGGAUAAAAUUAUAGGGUCAAUGUGGGUUUGGGAUAAGAUUAAUAGCAUGUUCCCAUCAGCUUCUCUUUCUCAGAAUCAAUUUUGGCACCCAAUAGCUAGUCACAUAAGCUUUUCCCAGUUUUGAUUGUCUUUAGAAUCAAUUGUAAAAGCAUUUCCAAAUGUGCACUAAUCAUUUGGGUUCUAUUUGUUGUUGUUUAGUGUUCAUUUGUUCUGUUUCUUUACUUUAUAGCUGUGUCGCUAUUCAGUUCGUUGUUUGGCCCUCUAGGUGGGUGAACUUUCUGUGUGCCCUAGUUUCUAGGAUGAUUAGUUUAUUGAUUAGUUUAUUGGUUGGUUAUUUGCUUUGAUGAGGGCAUAUGUGCAAUCUUUGCUCCACUGUUUGAUUCUGUGGCACCAAAGCUGAUUUGGGGUUGGGAUAAGAUUGAGCAUUUGGCUUCUAUUUGGUUUUUGGAAGGACAGCAAGAGAAAGGGGUGGGGUUCCUAACAGAUAUGUUUAGGUAUUGGGAAGUUUUUCUCCAUAGCUGUUUUUUUUUCCUCUGUUAUUUCUGUUUUCCUUUUACACCAAGGAAGAUUUCUCACUGCCAAAUUCUUUUUAGGGUGUGUUUGCGAGUUUUUAGGGGAGGGAAGGGGAAGGCUUUGAGGUCAAGGGGAGGGGAGGGCCAGUGAGGGGGAAGUGGGUGUCUGUGUGUUUCCUUGAGUUUGCAAGUACUAAAACUCCACUAAACCCUCCACUCUAGGGGAACUUCACGAGACAAGUAAAAGAGGGUUUUGGUGGGUUUUCAAAAAUUCCCCAAACCCUUCCACCCUUUUUAAAAUCUCCCAAACAAGGGGGGACUCUCAUAAGCCUCCCCCUUCCCUUUCCUCCCCUCCAAAAUUAAACUCACAUACACACCCUUUGUUUCUUCUCUUUAUCUUAAUAAUUCAUUAUUUUAUAUUGAUGCAUAAAGAGAAGGGUCAUAUUAUAUAUUGGUGGUAUAUCCGUAUAUCUACAAGUUUGAAUCCUGUCCUUACACUGUCUCUUUGAUGCAGAUGAUAAUAAGUGCUAUAUACGUCUUUAGCCCCAUUGACAUCAUUCCUGAAGGUAUUGCUCAUUAUAUUUUGCCAUUUUGUUGGAUUUGUGCUAUUGAUCUAGUAUGGUUUUGAUCCCUAUUGUUCAUGGUUGAGUUUUUUUUAUUCAUCUUUUCUGCAGGGAUAUGGGGAGUAGUUGGUCUCCUGGAUGAUCUCCUUAUUGUGCUCAUCUUCUUCUUGCAUGUUGCUGCCCUUUAUAGAUCAGUGCUUUACCGCCGUCAUGGUGGUUCCUGAACUACCCUCUUUGCGAUUGUACAGUUAAAAAUGAUGAAAUGAGAUGAGACCUUGGUGCCUGAUGCGGGCCUUUUCUUUCAUCUUGAAAAUUGACAUCCCCUGUUUUGUUUAUGUACAUAGACACAAGUUCACUCUCAAAUAUUUGUAUUGAUUUGAGUGAGAGAAAUGACAUCAGCUCACUCGUACCAUAUCUUCACUCAUAGUUUGCUUCAAUCUUGAAAUGAGAGCAUUUUUUCAACUUAAACUUUUUAUUUUACAAAAGAUUAUAUGAUAGUUGUAUCUAAAAAAUUCAUUUAUUUUAAAAAUUAUUGAAAAGCUCCAUUGUAUUAGGCAAAGAGAUAUAUCUAUUUAUUAAAAAAAUUAAAAAUUGCUAUUUCGUAAUUUGUUUUGUUCACAUCUUGGUCGACUACAAUUAUCGUUUUAAGGGGGGGGAAAAAACUUCUCCGUGCUGUUGCUUAUCUUAUUAGAUAUGUUCACACCUACAUUCUCUUUCAACUCAUUCUCAUCCUUUUUUUAUCGCAUCAACUACCUAAAAAUAAUAAAUUUGAGUGUUGUUUUUAUUUUUUGGUAGAAAAUAUGUGGGUUCUUUUAUAGUUUUAUUGGACAUAACAAAUGUUAGUUUAACCACGUUGAAAAUGAGAUUUUGAUGUGCUAAAGUCCUCACUUACUUUCCGGUUAAGCUAGUUUUAUUUAUGAUAAUUCAUAUUACCCUUAGUUUGCGAUCUAUUAAUAAAUUAAUCAUUUUUAUUAAAUUAAAUAAUUUAAAUUUUAAAAACUAACCUAAUUUUUUUUGGAAGUAAAAACUAACCUAAUUAAAUAUAAAUAUAAAUGCGUUAAUUUAAUUAUUUUGAUUUAUUAAUUUAAUUAUGAAUCUUAUUCUUCAAAUUAUACACUUGUAUAUUUUCCUCUGUAACCAAAAAAAUACACUUGUAUAAAAAUUGAGUCACUUUUUAGAGAAUGAACUAUCACUUUUUCUACCAUCUUAAUGCUUUUAUAGUUAGCAUUUUUUCUCUUCUCUCAUUGGAGGAUAAAUUUCGGAGUUAUUAUAUAGGAGCUUAAUUCUUCUAAAUCAUCUAAACUAGUUCUAACAUGGACUGCACAGAACAAGCAUUCAAAAAUCAAAAUCAAAGAAGGGGACAUGUGAGGCUAGAUUACAAAAGAAACUUCAGGAGAUACAUAUUUGGUCAAUGGCAUAACAUUGUCAGUUUUUCCUCGUACAGCUAUAAUAGAUAAGCAGACUUCUCAAAACAGAGAACAAACUUGUUCUGAAAAUUCUCCUCUGGCCCGGUAAAUGGCACAACUAAGCUUGCAUUCUUUUUUCGCAAACCUUUCUUGAGAAGAAAUUGCAGGACUACAACCCUUGGAAUGAUCCUUUUCUAAUUCAUAUUCACAAUAGACGAUGCAGCAUUGAGCAACAUUAAUCCCAAACCAAAAAUCCCAGACAGCAUGCAAAAUUCAUGUGGCUCCCAUAAUCCAUAUGGUUCCUAGCAUCUUUCAAAAAUCUUGUAAAGUUUAUCCAAUGAAGCCACCUGUAGAAAAUUAUAAAAGGAGAAAGUGAAAACAAAGCAAUCAUUGAUGGUACUAGUCAAAUUCCUUCCCCGAGAUUAACUUGUAUGUUCCCCCUCUCCUCCUCACUUCACAAUCAUUAUAAAUCAGUACCUCUUAGCUAUUGGCUCAUGCCACAGACAAGAAAAUUCAAGAUACAUAUAAGCUCAAUUUAUAAACAGACAACAACUUCAAAGGAACGUAAUGAGGCUACAUUAUUAUUAUUUUUUUGAGGCCAAUGAGGCUAUAUUCUUAUGUUUAUAUAAUAGAAUUUAAUGCACUUUGACUCAUUGAAGUACUACUUUCCAUUCUAAGUAACAGCACUUCAGCUAAUCUGAGUCUACCGUUAACAAUUUCUAAAACAAAAACUAAUCAAACUAAAUAGAGGGCACAAUCUGUUUCAUAUUCUGAUAAAAUGAUUGAAUGUCUAGCUCUCUUCAAAGUGAAGUAAAAGAGCCAGAGGAAAUAACUCAUGGUGUGUCGGUAUCAAAAUGUGCGGUUUAUAAACUGUAAAAUUUUAUUUUUACCAUGAUUAAGGAAACAAUAAAAUCAAGAUUUUGUACAUAUGAUCAAAGCAAUAAUCAAAUGAGUAGAUAAAUCAUCAUGAAGACAUGAAAACACUAGAUACUUGUAACUGCAUUAUAUGGGAAAGCACAAUAGUCAAUGUCUGCCAGAUUAAUCUUAGUAGAUAAGAAAGAUAUAACCCGAAGAUUUGACUGGUAGUUUUAUGGUAAAUGGUUAGAUUCCCACGUGUCUUCAAGCAUGGUUAGUCAGGUGGGCCACAUAUACAAUCAAGCAAAUGAAGCAGUAAGGGUUUUGUUUAUACGAUAUGAAGGAUGAGAUUGCCAUGACAUUAAUGACAAGUAAGCUCCCAAGAGUUAUCGAUAUAUAAUAUUAGUACUAAAAAACACUCAUUCAUUAAAUAUUACCUGAACAAUGGUUCCAUUGCUAGCCAUAGAAACAGGUGGUUUGAAAAAAAGUCUCAUGGAUGGAAAAAGCACAUGCUGUAUUGACCAUUCACGCUGGGCCCAAGCUGUCUCAGCUUCAGAAAGCAAUUCAUGCUCAACUUGAUCAUCAACAUCAUUCCCUGAAUACAAACCUCACUUAAAUUGGAACUCAACAACCUGAACAAAGUCCUUAAUAUUGCACCACCCUAAUGCCAUUUUUCCUUAAUAACUGUUUCCAUAAAUUUUCCCAAUAAGAAUAACCCGAGUUUGCAUGGCUAUAAGUCUAUAACCGUCUGAUAUGGUCAUGAAAGUUUGGUUCAAUUUGAAUUUUUAGUUUCUAAACUUCAAAAAAUUAGUAAAUGAACAUUAAAAUAAGCCUUAAAUAACAUGCAGUACUAAAAGCAUAAAUAUAUACAAUAUGCUGAAAUCUGAAUACAUAAUUGAACUGAAAGUAGACAUAUUAAGGCAGGUUCUAAUCCAAAAUAUGCUAGCUAAGCUAUGUUAGUUCUAACUGUGUCUAUAUGUAUUCAUGUAAUCUAUUCAGUUCUCAUUCAGUGAAUACCAUUCAGAUUUUACUCUGGUCUCUCUUCUCUCCCUCUCUUGAAUCAUUUUAGUUAUUAACUGAACUAACUUCAGUUUACAUAAGUACAGUACAUAAGGAUGUACUCUUUCAUUUUCCAAUCAUUCAAUGAAAAUCAAAUCAACAAUCAGAUGAAAUUCUCUAUAUUUCUCAAAUUAACAAUCAAAGCUAUGUGAGACUACUUCCCAGAUUUUUCCAUAACUUCAAUUACCCACAAAACCUUGAUAGGCAGUUUUUUAUUUUUCUUUACAUUAGAAGUGUGAAUAUUCUACGUUUCUAAAAAAAAGAAGUGUGAAUAUUCCAAAGAUAAUUGACAAGUGUUGAUAUAUAUGCACAUGUGUGGCCGCGUGGGUGUGAGUGAUCCAGAAAGUAACAAGCAAUGAAGUCCAUACCUGUAAUAUCACAAGUAUUCUCCUCAGCACAACUGUCAAUCAGUUUUCUCUUCUUGUAAAAAGACAAGCCCUCACCAGAUGGAUUAGGCAACAUAGGUGGAUGCAUAGCAUAAAAAUUUCCCAGAGCAGCUGAAACGGCUUGAAUACAGUUUUUCUCAUCUUCCCAAUCAACCUAUCAUAAAAAAUGCAUAUCACAAUUUUUAACAUUCAAAGGAAGAAAAAAGAUGUGAUCACAAAACAUUAUGAAGCAUUCAAGAUUAUCGAUAAGCACGUACUUGAAUAUUGAGUUGGGCAAUGAAUUCAACAGAAUAACAAUUAGACAUACAAGACAGUGCUUGCUCACAAUAAGUAAAAUCAAAAUUCAUGAAAAAGAAUGUGCAUUCUAUGACCUUAUGAAUCAUUUUAGCGAAUAAUCUGAAAUCAGGCAGCAAAGAAAUAGCUAAAUUAAUGAAAAGGACAUAAACGGAGAAAAGUAAAUCACAUAGACUUCUUCACAAACAGGUUAAGAGAGGAAGAUAGAAGAAAUUUGUAACUAACAUCAUUGCCUAAACUAAGCGCAAACUCAGGGAUGCGAUCCAUGUCAGGAGUAUAUUGGUCAAGUAUCACCGGAAGUCUAGAGAUAUUUCCAUGUUCAUCAAUAUGAAUGCCAAAAUACUCCUCCAGCAUUUCAACCUUCUGUUUCAGCAGUUCUGUGUUCAUCUGGGGAAUGGCAGAAGAAAUACCCAUAAAUAUCAAAAGGGAAGAUUCAAAAGGAAACAAUAAAAUGAGCAUAUGCAUGUAUAGAAGUUAAUUUCCCACAUAGUUCUAUGCAACGAAAUUGCAUUAAUUUAUCCACUACAUGUUAGAAAUAUAAUAUACAAUACAAUCAUUCAUGUGCGAAGACUCAACAACUUAAGCUUUUCAGAUAGUUAGUUUAUAACAUGAUAUGAGAGCGUCUAUGACCAGGCAGCCCAAACUUCGAUCCUGGUUGCCCCUCAUUAUUCUAAUAAAUAGUUAAAUUUCAGUACAAGGUAUUCAUUGUCCACGCUUCAAGUCCAAUGAGUUGUCGUGUGAAGGACUAGGUUAAAAAUAUAAUGUAAAACCAUUCACGUGUCUUCAUCAAACAACUUAAGAAUUUGAGAUAGUUGGUUCAUGAUACUACUCAAAUUUAAAGUCUGAUAGAGCCAACAUACUCAUGUUAAGAUAACAUAAAACAAAUUUUAUGAGGGCGUAGCCCCACUUUCCCAGGUGGUUUGAAGAAGCAGUUGACAAUGACAUUCCAACUAUGAACCAAGCGUCAAGGAAGAAGACUGAGUUAUGGAGUGUUCAUUGGAUGUCCAUGGGCCCUAAAUUAUUACCUACUUUCUGAACUCUACACAGCUUUUGUUCUCAAUGGGACACUCUGAAGCUCUUUAGACUAAUGAUGUGAAGAGCCUUUAUUCAGUGAUAUCGAACAUGAUGAACCGGCAACAACUGGAUUUGGAUGAAUCUAUCCAUGUCAGUAAGGAGCAUUCUGUCAGGCAAGAGUUUUCUAAGCUCCAAACGUAAGUCAUCCAGUUCUUUAGGAUCAUUUGGCAACUUGCAACUAUUAAUGUAUACUAGUUCAGUUUUGUAGUUAUAGUAAGGGAGUUGGGGUUUUAGGCCCAUUUGUAAGGUGCAUAUAUAGCAUCCCUUGUCAUGUAUCAUAAGAUAUGAAUGAAUAAGAAAGUUUUUUAGCAUUUAUUUUGUCUGUCUUCAUGGUAUCAAGAGCCCUAGACUAGGAGGUUUCUAGUGGCCCUAUUUCCAGCGGCUGAUUUUAUUUUAUUUUUGACAGAAAUAAUUAAACUUCAUGAUACAAAUAACUUAAAGAAAACUUAAUCCUAAACUACAUUGUGAACCAAUAGCUACAGUUAUAGAGGAAAUAUCUAGCACUCACAAAAUAAGAAGUAAUUAAAGCCCAAGGGUAAUUACUUCUGCAAUCUUCUCCUUAAAUUCGUCAUCAUCAUUACAUUCUGAAUCUAAAUCCUCUUCCUUAAGUGCCAAUAUUAUCAAGUCUUUCAAGGGGACUGGAUCACUAAGUUGAAUGGCGUUGAAAUGGGCAAAACGGCUCAGAACUUGCUGAUACAUAAGCUCUUUGCUGCAAAUGAAUUAAGGACAGAAUGUCAAGGAUCAAUUCUCAAAAGCUGUAAGAACGAGAGCCAAAAGUAAUUUAUAUUUCUAACAUGCUCUAUCAUACAAGAGCUUUUUGGGAUUGAAGCUUACACACCCAUUAUACCUUGUGCUAACUCUAAAUUAUGAAGACUGGCAAUAGCGAAUACUGAACUCCUGACCGCUUGUUCAUAUAGACUCUUAUAUCAUGACAAAGGCCAACUCUUCUAAUAGAGGCCCAAGAAUGGCGGUGGUUUUAGCUGUAAAGGUCAUCAAAAAAAAUUCCAGUGAUAGCAGAUGGCAAUGGCGGUUGGUUGAUGGGUCGAAUGGAGGUGCCUGAAGUAAACGGUGGUUGUCAACCACCGGAUGACUGUACACACUAGGCCAGCUGAUAAUAGCAGAGUUUUCCUUCAUUUUCUAACAAUUCUUGCACACUUAAGAAUUCUAUCAAGGUAACAAAAGCAGUAACUUGGACCUAGCUUCACCAUACAAUACACUCAACUAAGAUCAGUCACCACCUCAUGCUAGCUCUCGUCAGAAAUUUAUUUGUAAUGUUUUCCUAUUCAAUUGGCCUAUCUAGAUGACAAAUUUUAUGCCUCAUACAUUAUGACUUCUUAUAAAAUAAUUCACAUUAAGGAUUUCGUAAUAUAAAGAAACAAAUAAUAAAUAUCUACCUCAAGUUUACAACAUUCGCAAGAUAAAGAUGAGUAUUGUGCUGAAGCAAAGCGAAAAUAUCAUCUGCCAUUCCAACAUAUGUGCAAUGCCUUACAAUGUCCAUCAUGCCUACAGGGUAGAUGUUAGUAGGAAAUGUUUUCCAAAUCAACCUACAUCACAUAACAUAGUCAUCAUUGUGAGUAAUCUAGCGCCAUACCAGGGUCACAAUUGCUAUUGAUCUCAUCACGAAGUUGGUCAAGGCUGGUGAGUUUCGUAGAAUCUUUUGGGUUCCUUCUUUGUCUAACUGAGGACCUAGCAAGGGGAAAAGUAUUUUGAAUACAUUAAUAUUGUUAGAAAUAUAAAACAAAAUCAUUUAUGUGUCAUUUACGGAACAUUUUAAGCUUUUGGGGUAGUUGGUUCAUGACAUGUUAUUAGAGCCUCUAUGACCAAGUGGUCUAGAGUCCAAUCCUUGUUGUCCCCAAUUAUUUGGAUAAAAAACAUUGAGUUUCAGCACAAGGUAAGUGGGUAUGUGCAUUGUCCAGGCUUGAAGCCCAAUGGGCUCUUGCGUGAGGAAAGUGUUAGAAAUAUAAAAUAAAAUCAUCCAUGUGUCUUUUACCCAACAACUUAAGCUUUCGGAUAAUUGAUUCAUGAUAAGUAUAAUCAUUACAAAUAUAUUCAACAUUAAUAUAAUCUAGAAGCCAAAUAUAUUUGGAAAGAGACCGAAGAUGUCUAAAUUGCUUGAGGAAAUCCUUAGCAUGAUUGUGUAUAUAACAUGAUUUACAAUCUUUAAUUUUAAGAGGCACAUAUGGAAUCUUAAUUCAUAUACAUGACAUAAUGAGAAUAUUCAGUUUCAGAAACUCUCUCUCUCUCUCUCUCUCUCUCUCUCUCUCUCUCUCUCUCUCUCUCUCUCUCUCUCUCACACACACACACACACACAGUGUUCACAAAUAUUCAUUUUUUAUUAAAUUUUUUUCUUAUAAUUUAAUCCAUAACAAUUUACGCAUUCAGCCUAUCACCGCUGCUUAAGAUAUUUUGUAUAGAUAAGCCAGAACUAUGUAGAUAGGAUAAGAUUAGUUGUUAGGAUAUUAUUUGAUUUUAAUCUUAUCCUUUUCUGUUUUAAUAUUAUUCUCUCUAUUUUAUUCUUUGGCUUAAUUGCAACUUUGGUCCCNNNNNNNNNNNNNNNNNNNNNNNNNNNNNNNNNNNNNNNNNNNNNNNNNNNNNNNNNNNNNNNNNNNNNNNNNNNNNNNNNNNNNNNNNNNNNNNNNNNNNNNNNNNNNNNNNNNNNNNNNNNNNNNNNNNNNNNNNNNNNNNNNCUUUUUCUUCUCUCAAUUUGAAUUGUAAUUAGAAUGGUUAGAAUACCUCUAACCAAUUCUUCUUAUAAAUCCAACACUUCUGUAAAUCUUAGAAUUCGUGUUAGACCUAACUCUACCCCAAAAGCUAGCUUAGAGGUGAGGGUUAUCCUACCCUUUAUAAGGACUUAUUUGAUCAUUUCUCUAGUCAAUGAGCGACUUCAACACACCUCACACCUAGGGCUGAACAUCUGGUAUGUGCAAUUUGCAGGAAUGAACAUAUGCAGCCUAUGGGUGACCCAUAUAUGGGUAGCCCAAUAAACUGAUCUAGGAAAGGCUCUAAUACCAUCUUAGUACUCGGGCUAGGCCUAACUCUACCCUAAAAGUUAGCUUAGAGGUGAGGGUUGCUCUACUAUUGAUAAUGACUAAUUUGGUCACAUCUUUAGUCAAUGUAGAACUUCAAUAUAAAUAUUAUUGAUUUUGAAAUAAAGGCAUCAUUUUCUUCUCCUAAACUACAAUUAAAAACUUAAAGUUGAGCUCAUUUCACUAGGGCAGCCAGCCUGAUCUGCAUAUAUGUAAACGACAAUAUCAUUAACACCUCUAUUCCUGUAGAUUAACCUUCUCUAGGAAAAUUUGAACAACUGCAUCCCAGUAGCUAUCAAAUGGAGACUUAAAAAUUGGCUCAUAACACAUACAGCAAGGUAAAUGUCAAUUCUGUUCAUGUUGAGAUAAUUGAAUUUUCCCACUAGCCUCUGAUAUCUUCUUGGUUUCAAACAUAAGUUUGACAUCCGGAUCCGCAGGAGUAUCAAAUGAUUCAAUACUGUUUUGUGUUGUACGGUUGUACCUAUCCCAUUUCCAUUUUUGCCUAAAUGGUUUGUCUAAUUCAAGUUAAUAAGGUCUAUAUAAUUUAUAGAUUUUGGCCUGUUUGGAAGAGAUCAUUUGAACUUAUCUUAUAGCAUAAGCACUUAUACAAGUGUUUGGGAAAGCUAACAUUUAUAGUUUAUGACCUACUUAUAAACUAUUUUCAGCUUAUUUUCAUAAACUGCUCAGAUUAGCUUAAGAACACGUGGUACCUAUAACUUGUUUUGAGCUUAUUUCAGUAAGCUUCUUAAAUUAGCUUAUGAAUAAGCACUUAUGCAAAUGAGAUCCAAAUUGCCAUAACUGCUUAACUAAGUUGUUUACCUAAACACACCAUUUACACUUGAGAAUGGUAAUAAGUGCAGGUAAUUAUAUACAGAAAUGUUGAGAGGCUUUUACGAACAUGAAAAACACAAGAAAUAUAUAAAAAUUCAAAAACAAGUACUACUACAAAAAGUCAAAAACAAGUACAUACUGAAAAGACUAAGAAAUUACCACAAACAGAAAUCAAUCUGAAAAAUGAAUAUUACUACUAACUUGUUAGAUAAAAAAUGUAGAAGCAACUAGUAAUCACCUUACUGCAUUCAAAUUAAUAUUCUUCUCAAGAUUGCUAUCAGGCAUAGUUUGCAUGUAGGCAUGUAAUCUUCCUGCAGGAUCUAAUGAAUCUGUUCUAACCAAUUUAUGAACUGGUACUUUCUGUGAUCUUGAGCCUAUUAUCAAUAAAUGAUUUUAGAAGAUAAAUUAAACACAUCACGAGUAUAAGCCACAAACAAAUGAAAGGCAUGCAACACAAAAAACAAUAAAUUUACCAUACCCGUUGGUGUAGGGCUAUGUUUAACCUCCUUGCUUGCAUUAAUAAGAGACAAUGAAGAUUGCCCAGCUGUCUGCCACAAGCACGAGACAAUAUACACAAAUAAAAUGCAGGUAUUAAGUAACCAUAUUCAAAUAAAACAUGAUAGAGAGCAAAAUCUGCAUUCAUGAUCUGUAAGAAUGAAGAAUAUUCUGCUAAUAUUUUAAUGUUUAUUGUGCGACGAUCUCUGGAUCAUGGCCCGUACAUAUGGGGCCAACUCCAACCUUUCAUGAGCAGACCAAACAUAGAGAAAUGUAUUGUAACUUUAUCAGGGAAAACAUUCUCUUCACAGAAAUCACUGAGUUUGUUAAUUCUAGUGAUUCAUUUGGAUAUAUCCUUACAAUGUCUCUUUGAGGUCCUUGAGGCCAUUUCAUUAGUAAAUAUCUAGGUGAAAGUGAAAAGUCGUAAAGCGUCUCCUAUUUAGCAAAAUAUCCCGUAUUUAAGGACUGUAAAUAUUCUAUAAAUAAUGAACUGUUUUCUUAAUUUCUUGGUUUUGUUAUUUUGCUAGUUUCCUAACAUUAUACAUUGUAAAUCAUGUCUAAAUAACCAUUUUCUUAGUUUCCUAAUUCCCUGAUUCUGUUAUUUUCCAAGCUUCCUGGUUCAUUAACUGUCAGUUGUAUAAAACAGCAGCUUGUCACCUGCUUUUCUAUCGAUGAAUUCAAUUGAAGGAGAAAAACCAAAAAUUAGCAACUAGUUCGAACUACAUACUAAACAAUAACAAGCAUUGAGUAUAUUGUCGUAAGCAUACUUGUUCUUGAAAUGUCCGUGCCUCAUUGGAACUCCUCAUUGUUGAUUCAACCACCGACUGUAUCUUCUCAAUGAUAACUUCCUGAUUUAAAACACUAACCUAUAUGCAAACAAAUUCACUGUUUUCAAUAACAAAAGAAAAAAAGACUAGCAAAUGUAGAGUUUAAAUUUGAAUGUUUUAACAAUUGCAGAAACUCAAAGCUAGCUACAUAGUAGGGUAUCAUGGUCUAGUUACUUGGGGUAGAACUUUUGUCCACACAAAUGUUCAAAUAAAAUUGUUAGCUAUAGCUUGUGUAAAGACAACUACUGACGGUCCUUUUAAAAGGUGUCAUUAUCGAAGAUGUAACCAUUUGAUCCUUUCCACCACAUUAUCUAAGAUUAAACCAACAAUUCCUUCAAAACCAAUGGAAAAAAAGGAAGUAAAGAGGAAUUAUUAACCAAAUUGCAGCAUCAGCACACAACAUAUUCUGUUAAAUAAGUAUGAAAUUCAAAAGGAUUUUCAGAUAACACCAUCAAAUUAAAGGUAUUUGUCAGUAACAUGGAAUCUUAUUUUUAAUAAGCCAGUGACUUUAGCACUAAUUAUGACAAACAAAACAUACACAUGAAUAUUUUUAUUAAGGCCUGUACCUCUCUCUUUGUCGGAUGCACAUUUACAUCAAUAUUCUCAGGCGGUAAAACAAUUGAAAUAUAUAUAAAGGGUUUAGAUGCUUUGGGUAAUGUUGCUGCAUAAACAAUUUCAACAGCUCUCUUCAAUGCAGACCACUCAACCAAUCUAUCUGAGAAACACAAACAUGAAGAUUUUCAUGAGUCUAUAAACAGUUAUCUCAUGCCAGAUACAAAUGUAAAAACUGUUCGAGGAAAUUAUUGAAGUAUAUAAAGAUAAAUACUUAACAGAAUAACAGAUACUAAUUACAUGUUGAACAGUACAAGAUGAAAAAAAUAUACAUAUAUAAUUUUAACUCCAAGAUUUAGAGCUUCCAUAUACUGCACCCAUAAAGUAGUGUAAGGGUGUAGAACCCAUACCAAGGUGAGAGGAAGAUAUAGAGGCAUAGACAGAAACAGACACAGCAGAUCUAUAUUUUAUGCAUGGUAGCAUUCAGGAAAAGAAUGGUUUGAUUAGACACAUUAUCUGACAUUAUACAAUAUUGAUAACAGGGGCUUCAUUGACAAAAAUAAACACCUUCUAAGAAAUUUGAAAAACAAGUUAACAUUUAUACCAUUGAUGAAAAGCACCAUUGUAAUUUUCUUGGCUGCAUGAUUUGCAUUGGAUAUAUAACCAUGCAUCUCAAAACAUGAAGUAGAUGGAUCAUUGUCUGAAGCUUCAAUUUCAACCAGAUUGCGAGCAACUGAGACCCCAUAAACUGAUCUGAUGGCAUCAAGCCUCGAAGAUGUGGAAACUGUGUGAACAUCCGCUUUCACAGCUCCAUGCUGAUUGCAACAGCAGUCAGUGAAAAUUAACACACCUCACUUACAAUACACCCUAUAAGAUUUUAUAGCAAGAAAGUUUUACUGCUCAAGAGACCAACCUUUCUGCAAGAGAAACCAACAUUGGUAUGAUGAAUAGCAAACCGGCUCACCAAGUCCACAAUCUUUGAGUAAUCAUCAGAGGAACUUUGCAGCGUCUUCCUCCUCGCCGCCAUGUUAUAGAAUAGAUUCUCAACCUGAUAACACAAGCACAAGAAUCUCAACCCAUAACAGACAUAGUUCCAAUUACUUAUUCAGAAGACAAUACCCUAAUGAAAUCAGCUAGCUAUUCAACUUCAGUAUAUCAAAUGUUAAAGACAAUACCAUUAUCUGUGUUCCUUUCACAGCAGCACAUGGCUUGGGUUCAUGCUCCAUGACACCAUCUCUAUAGGAUACCCUAAACCCCAAAUAUAAUCAGAAAAUUUGAAAAUGAGAAUGGUAGUUUAAUUUUAUCAACAUGAUUGCAAAUCGACGUCAUUGAACACAAACCCUAGCUACCUGUAACCGUGCAAUUUGCCUUUGGUGAUGGUGGUGACAGUAACGUGGCCGACAUAGGUCAUGCUGGCGAGAGCUUCUCCCCUAAACCCCAUGGACUUGAUGCUCUGCAAAUCCUCAAACGCAGACAGCUUCGAUGUCGUGUGGCGCUCGCACAGUAUCGGAAGAUCCUCGAACUACAGGAAGAGAAGAGAAGAAGACAGUGAGAAUGUGGAAAACGCAAAGGUGAGAGAAUCGAAUGGAGUCAAGAGUGAGUGAGUUACUCGAACUCCGUGGCCGUCGUCGGAGACUUGGAUGAGUUUGAGACCACCGUCUUUGAUGAGGAGGUUGAUGGAGGUGGAGCCGGCGUCGAGGCUGUUCUCCAAGAGCUCCUUGACGGCGGAGACUGGGCGUUGGAUGACCUCGCCGGCGGCGAUUCGGUUCACCACCGACUCGCUCAGGCGCUGGAUUUUGGGUGGUUCCAUUUCCUUCUCGCUCCCACUGGCGCGCUCUUCCAUAAUCCCGGGUCCUUCUUCCGCCUACAGUGUACUGACUGACCAACUGCUAAUUAAGGUCUUCUCACUCCUUUAACACACUCUCCCGCCCAAUUUAUUAAUGGCGGUUUGCUUAUAAGUUAUGAGUUACCGCCUUACCGGCACGGAAAAGUUUGCAUAACUUCUUAAGUUAUACCGUACUUCCUUUGAAUUGUACGUCAACCAUUAUGAUUUGUCGAUCAUGGUCGGCUAAGUCUAUGGCUGAGUUUAUCGUCUUUCAGUCGACAUCAUUCACUUCAUCAAUGAAGAUUAGUUCCACGAUUCACCAUUUCCCCCACAAAUUGAAUCGGCCUAGAAUCAUGGAAUUUACCAUUAUUGUAAUAAGUGGGUUUCCUCUCAUCAACGUUAUUGUCGGGAUCUAGAGCAUCUUGAUAUUGUAUUGAGCAUGUGCACGCACUUAGGGUUUUGGGAUAGAGCAAGGCAUCCAACUAGUUGAUUUAUAUUCCUAAUACUUUUAGUGAACAUUGGCGCCUGUUGUGAUUCUCGACAAACCAUUCUCAUACCUCAUGUCUUAUCCUUGUGUCUCUUUCACUGACAAGAUAUGGUAAGCACUAGAAGCAAACUUGCACAUCAUAACAGAGAUGGGGAGUAUCAUCAUAAUUCAGAAACCUUUUUGCGAAAGCUAAUGGCAAAUUUGGCGAUUUGCGAGAACAUAAUGAUGAUUUGCUCCAUACUUAGGUGACUAACUUGAUUAUGGAACAUGUAAGGAGGGAUGAUGAACCUCAAGUAAAGUUUGUACUGGACUUUUAAUGUUUUUUCCGUUGAAAUUGCUUCUAGAUGAUUCCAAUAAAUUUCAAAAACAUUACGCCUAUACGCAUGUGAUGAUACUUUGGAUCCAAAGGAGCAUAUGGUUGUUCUCAACAACAUGAGUAAUCAAUGGAGCGAACGACCAUCUAAAAUGAAAUAUCUUCUAGGAACCUUCAAGAUGGCGGCACUAACGUGGUUCACUAACCUCCAUUUGCAUAAAAUUAUGAAUUUCACUAAGUUCUCCCACAAAUUCCUAACUCAAUUCUCAGUCAAACAGGCACACCAAGUUACUUUGGCCAACUUUUUUAAGUUCGAUAACAACCAAGCGAGACCUUAAAAGAAUAUUUGUUGAGGUUCAUUAAUAUUGUUGUGAAAGUAAGAAACCGAAAUCCAACCAUAUGUACGAAAAGCCUUAGAAAAUGGCUAAGGGCAUGAACAUUUAACAAAUACCUAGCCUUAGAAAGUGAGAACUUGAAGAAAUCUUGCGAAAGAGAGCUAGUUGACCGAGUGAUCUCAAUCAUGACCAAGAGUUUGGAAGGAUCGAUCGACACGAGCUCAUGUGACUUAUCAAAUAAGGAUAAACGUUUGGACGAGAAGAGACAAAUCUAUAACUAACUAAAGCUAGAGGGUUUUGAGUACUGUUCAUAAGAGGAAACCCGCAAGAGCCGGGUCAAGGGUCGGGUUUGGGUCGGUUUUUCCGGAGCCUAUACAGAAGACCCAUUACAACUGCUAAAUAGAGAGGAACGGACAUUAUAGCUGCAAAAAAUCUUCUGCAAUCUUCUCCUGUAGAUUUUGAAGUACAAGUGCAAUCUUUCUUGUACCGCAAUUGCCCUCUAUCUCAUUUUGGUUUUCUCUAAAUUGCUCAUCAUCUCUGCUAUAAAAACCGAAAUCGUGAUCAGUCAUUGCCACCGCUUGAUAGAUAGACUAAUCCAUCUGAUAGUCUUUUUCAAUUACUUAUAUUUUGUUGAGGUCUAGAUCAGAUGGCUUCGUUGGGUGGCAGUUUGAAUUCCGCUGCCACCAGCUACGCCUCCGUACUCGCCGACGUGGAGAAGCUCGAGACCCUCUUUUCUGAGGCCACCAGCUACGCCUCCAUACUCGCCGACGUGGAGAAGCUUUUCUGACCCCAAGGUGUUCGACUAUUUCUCCAACCCAACCAUCGAAGACAAAGCAAGUGCAGAAGCUCACUCAGCACCAGGAAAGAAUAAAAACAGCACCGGGAAAGAACAAAAACAGAGGAAGAACAUGGGAAGAAGAAGAACAGAGGAAGAAGAUAGUAAGAAGAAGAAAAAGAGGGGAAGAGGAGGAAGACGAAGAACCCAACCCUAUCAUGAGUAAGAUUUCUUCUGACUCAGCACAACCCACUUCUGUCCCUCUUCUUCCAGAUCCAAGAAAAAAGAAAAAAUGAGAUUAAAAAAGAGAAACAGAGAAGUAUUAAGAUUCAUAGAACAAUUUUUACAUUCAUCAUCAACAAAUUUACAAAACAUAUAUAUUACAACAUAUCCGUUUAAAAUAACACAGGUGAUGAAAAAAAAGGUGAAGCCUUCACUUGCAUCAGGAGCAUGCACGCUUUCUUCGCUGCAAUAGAACCAACAGAGAUGAAGGUGCCACCGUUGCAUAGUCCUAGAUCUGGUGGAGGGGAAUGAAGAUCAAGAGAGAAGGAGCUUCAGAUCAUUUUCAUAUUGGGUUUGCAUAAGAGGUGUGUAAGAAACAUUUUUGGUUUGCAUAAUAUUGGGCUGGGCUCGCAUUUUUUUUUCUUUAUUUAAAGCUGGGGCCGGUUAGUAGUAUAUUGGGAAUAAGAAAUAAGAGUAUCCUCUAAUCAAAGAAUAAAACUAAGCAACAAAAAUAAAAUGAAGAUCAAGUGUAUGAAAUGCUCAUGCCUAAGCACUGUAUUUAUACUAGAAGUUUGGAGACAAAGCAUUGAAGAGAGAAUUGAAUGCCAUUUUCCCUCCCAAACACUUGAAAAAUUCGGCCAAAGCUUGGUCAAACCAAGGGCCUCUUUGCAAUUUAUUUUCUUGUCCAAAAUCCCUUUAAACUCAUGCUUUAAUCCUCAAUUAAAUUGAAUUUAAAACCUUAAUGUUAUCAUUCCAAAUAUAGGUCCUCAAGACUUUAAUUCCGAAGUUUUUAUUUAUGAAAAGGCCCUUAAAGAAUUCAAAGAUUUAAAUCCAAGACCUUGCAAUAAAUAGAGUCAAGGAGACAAAUCUCCUUAAUUCACACCCUUCACCAUUAACCCUAAUUUGACCUAAUUAAGUGGGAAAAAAAAAAUCUUCCAUCCUCACCAUCCAUAUCUCUUGCAAAAAAAUUCAGUUAAUUACUCCUUUUUUUUUGUAAAGACGAAGUGCCGGGCUGAUCUCCUUCGAUACCUAUUUUCUCUAGUGAUAGGGAAUUAGGGAUUACUACACCUCUAGGUCAUAUUUAUUUUCAAGAAUUUUACUUAACACAAAACCAAGUCAAAUGAUGUGUGAUUAAGUGCAUUAACUACCAUAUUCCCCUCUUAUUGCACCAUAAAACCUCCAAUUUUGAAUUCAAAAACGUUAUCAAUAAAUUUGACUCUAAAAUUUCGUGCAUCACCUCCAUAAUACCUCAAAUAUAUUCUCAGAAUUAAUUUUUUAAAUAAACCACAAGUUAAAAAUAAUUAAAUACAUUUUGUUUCAAUAAAACCCUCAAAAAUAAAAGAAAGGAAUAUUCCUUCAUGAAAUAUUCUUAGAAUUAUUCCCAACACCUUCCUAUAAGGUGUGGCCCACAAAAUCGUCCUCCCCGACGCGAUUCGCCAACUCAUCGCCGCUUUCGGGAUGUUUUUGACCUAAAAAGUCGUCGUCACAGAACACUAGAAAUAUUACAGUCAAAACACUCAUAAUGUCACAUACAUCGACUUCCAGACAUUAUCGGGACUUAAUAUUACCUCUACGAAAUAAUUGCUCAUAUAAAGAAAGUAUAUCAUAUAUAACACAAACAAUUCAUGGAAUAAGAUUAAAUAUUUUUAUUUAAAUAGUGGGCCCUAAGCCGGGUCUUACAGGCAUGGCCGGACGACUCAGAUCACGUUUCUCGCCCCCUUCACCGUUUGCAUCUGUCGUUGGUCCCAGUUUUGCAACUUUGGUUCCUUAUUCGUUUUUUCACUUUCCAGCACCGUGUCUGUUUCUCUUUUUUUUUAAAAUGAUCAGAUUCUUUUAUUAAAAAUUAAAUAAAUAAAUAUUAAGCAUAUUGUCUAUCUCUCUCCUGUAAUAAUAAAAUUCAAUCUUCUAAAUCUCAAAUUAAAAUUAAAUAAUAAAAUUCACUAAUGUCUAGGUUUCAAACUAAAUAUAGAAUGCUAAUCAAUUUGAGAUAACAUUUUUGCUACUAAAUAAAUGUCCAAUCUCCAAAAUUAUGAUAAAAUAUAAACAAAACACAACCAAGUAUUUUCUUUAUCAUUAAAAUCUAAAACGUCAUAAUUCCCUCUUGCUUCUUCAAGCUUUUCAAAGACAAACUCUUACCUCUUCAAGUCUUUCCUAAUCAAGUUUCUUCAAGCAUUCAUGGUCAAGCUCCGACUUCUUCAAGUCUUUCAUAAUCAAUAUUCUUCAAGCAUUCUUAGUCAAGCUCAUGCUUUAAGCUUUUUCAAGCUUUCAUCAGAACUACGUUACCUUGAUGUCUCUCUAAAGAGAAUAAGUAAGUCGGGACGCGAUUCUCGUUAGGCACCCCAAUUUAAAAAUCUAUUUAAACCCUAAGAAUUACGUGGCCUUGAAGACACACUGCACAAAGGGGGAUUUGUAGGCGCAAGUCUCUAAGACUUGUCAGGUCCAACUUGUAAAUAAUUUAUUUUCCCUUUCUUAAUUAAGUUUCGUUAUUAAGAUAUAUAAUUAAAUUAAUAAAUAUUUUCUUGUGGUGAAAUAAGUAUUUUAAAAGCCAAUAUGUUUUACACAAUUAAUUAGAGGCAACUGUUUAUAAACGAACGUCGUAGGGUGCUAGUACCUUCCCUACGCGUAAUCGACUCUCAUAUCCAGCUCUGAUUGCGAAGAUCAGUUCUCUACGGGUUUUUUGACGUUUUCCCGCUUCAAAAACACUGGUAGUAACUCUUCUGAUUUCUAAACAUUUUAGCGUCGUCCCGCCGCGACCCUGGUUGCAACAAUCGGGCAUGCGACUAGUACUUUGUCCAAGGUUGGAGUCAUUUUGUGUAUGUCCACGACUACAUGCAAGUGUUUGAUAGAGCUUAUGUAAAUAGUUUAUAAUAUUUUAAUUAAAUUGCUUUGAGUUUAUUUUCAUAAAUUAUUAUGAGCUUAUGCUUAUUUAUAGCUUGUUUUCACCUUAUUUCAAUACACUUCUUAAAAUAGUUAAUGAAUAAGUGCUUAAUUAAUUCAUUUUUCCAAACGCACACUUACAUGCAUAAAUUGUUAUACAUGUCAUGUUUUAAUCCACAAAUAAGUAAAUAACAAUUUUGUUGUUGGUUAGUGGAAAUUUUAUAACUAUUCAACAGAUGGCAUAAACAUAAAUAGAUAUUCCGAUUCUGUAGCACAGUUCCAUCAAUUAAGUCGUUGUAGUAUAGUGGUAAGUAUUCCCGCCUGUCACGCGGGUGACCCGGGUUCGAUCCCCGGCAACGGCGUUUCAAAAUUUUUUUUCAUUUUUUUUUAUUUUGUCUCUGUUGAUAAACAGUUAACACUCAAAUUUUUAAGUUUUUUUGUCAUGUUUUCUUCAACGUUUCACUCUGAAAUUUAUCCAAAAAUGGGUCACAUACAAAAGUUAUUCCAUUAAUUUAAUCUUGUUCUUUCACAUUCUGAAUCAGAAAUUAUCCAUCAAAUUCUUUCUCUAAAUUAACACUAACAGUAAAACAGAGUACACAUUCAUUUCAAUAAUUUCAAUAAUAGAAACUAAAAUCUUAACAGGGAAUUCAUAACUAAACUUUAAUUUAAUUACAUAGCUAUAUAUGUAUGUAUAACACUUAAACAAUGAUCACAGGAGGAGUGGUCUUUGCUGUUGACUCGUUGUUGCUUAAUCCUUUUCAAUAAUUGUGUCCCCGUGGAUAAUCUCGUACUCCAAUAUUGGUAACUGCUGCAAAUUCAUAAGGAAUUAACAAACCAUAAAUUUCAAUUUCUACACAAAUAAUUCUUACCAAAUGAAAAAACAUAUAUGUGAGCAAUUAGCUAGUACAUACAUUCACAACUGAAAUUGAAUCCAUGAAAUGAAAGCAGAGAACAAAAUUUGCACUUACGAGCUGGGUUGGAUGCGUGGUGAUCAGGCUGAGGUUGAGGCUUAUCAUUAGUACUCAAAAGACGCUUUAGCAUGUUGCCAAUGUUCAUUGAAACAAAGUAAUCAAACCAUGAAACCAUUUUGUUAGACUCAAAAAAAAUUAACUUGUAAUAAUUAAUCACUUCCUUUAUUUAGAUCUCUAGCUAGCUAGCUAGCUGAUUAAAAAUUGUUCUGUAUAUGCUUUAUGCUUUGCUUGGUAUUGAUGAUUCUAUGGUAUUUAUAAAGCUCAUAAUUCUCAAGUUUUCAUUCAGUCAAACCUCCGGUCUUUGAAUUUGAAGCAUGUUUGGCAACUCAACGUGGGGGCUAAAACCUUGGUGGAAACGUUCUUACUCUCACAACUUGAGGUUUCAAGUUCAACGAUCAAUUUCUUAAUUUCACCUAGUUUCUCUUUAAAUCAAUUUUAGUACAUACUUCUAAAAUUUCUCUUUAAAUCAAUUAACAAUGAAUUGAUCGACUUCAAUUAAAAACUCUCUUUAAAAUAAUCCUAAGUAAAAACUCUCUUUCACAUAGUUUCUCUUUUUAAUUGGUGUUAGUUUUCUACGUAGAAUUAUUUUAAAGAGUUUUUAAACAUUCUUACUCAUUGACUUCAAUUAUGUAUUUUCGUUUUUUGUCCUAACUUUGUAGUUUAUACUUUAUACGAUCAAUGAGUGUUAAUAUUAAUAUAACUUUUUCAAGAUCCGCGUGUAGCCGUUGUUAUUUGACAAGCGACUUGAAGUUAAAACUCAAACUCUUGCUUGUACAAACAUGAACAUUGUCAAUGGAUUUCUCAGUUUUCCAUAUAUAUAUAUAUAUAUAUAUAUACCAUUUCUAUAUUCAGAACAUAAUUUCUUAUUUCAAAAUUUAAUAAGUGAUUUUGAUUGUUAGUAGAUUUUGUGGCAAUCAAAAACAAAUAAUUUUUCUUUCACACCUCUCUUAAAGGUGGAAUGAAGAAAGAUAGGAAGAAAAUGAAAAGUAAGAGAAAUAAAGUAUAAGAUGUGAUACAUGAUGAGAGAAGAGAGAUAGAAAUAAAAAUGGGUGGAAAUAAAGUGUUUUGAAAAUGAGGUGUGUAUUAAUAUUGAUCUAAAACAAUUACUAAGUAGGUGUCUAAUAAAAUGUGCGUCGAUUAGAACUUAAAAUGGUGGCAUGUUAUCUUUAUCCCAUGUAUUAAGCCAACUUUUUGGUCAAAGUGGGCUUGAGUAAAUUUGGAUUACCAUUGAAUAAAAUUAUGGUUGACAUCAUGAAGUUUGAUAUAAUAAAAUUGUAUUUAUAAAUGAUAUAAAAGUAGGUAUAAAAAAGUGAAUUUGUUUGUAUAGUACUCCCUCCGUUCCUAUAUAUAAGUCACAAAUAACUAAUUCUCUUAGAUUAAGAAAAGUAGUUACUAGUAAUAAAUUUGUAAAAAAAAUGAUUUACUUUCCUAGAUUACCCUUAUUUACUUUCCUAUGAUUUUCUCUCUCCAAGUUAAUACUUCUAAAGUUUAUCAUAUCUUUCAUAUUAAAUAUGAUGGUAAAUUUGGAAAAAAUAUUUAAUGCUUCCUAGAUAUUAGAAAGUGACUUAUAUUUUGUAACAAAAAAUUUUCAAAAAAUGUGACUUAUAAUAGGAAACGGAGGGAGUAUAAAGUAAAACUAGUUUUAGAUACUCCUUUCAUUUCUUAACUAGCGAAGUAACCCGUGCAAUGCACGGGUGACUUUUGUGAUAUAAAAUUUAAAUUUUAUGUAAUAUUAUAUUUUUGAAAUUUUUUCUAAUUUUAAUUAAAAAAUGUAAAAAUAGUUGUUAGAAAUAUAUAUUUUAUGUUUUUUUUUUUCAUAUUAUAUAUUCGUAUUUUNNNNNNNNNNNNNNNNNNNNNNNNNNNNNNNNNNNNNNNNNNNNNNNNNNNNNNNNNNNNNNNNNNNNNNNNNNNNNNNNNNNNNNNNNNNNNNNNNNNNNNNNNNNNNNNNNNNNNNNNNNNNNNNNNNNNNNNNNNNNNNNNNNNNNNNNNNNNNNNNNNNNNNNNNNNNNNNNNNNNNNNNNNNNNNNNNNNNNNNNNNNNNNNNNNNNNNNNNNNNNNNNNNNNNNNNNNNNNNNNNNNNNNNNNNNNNNNNNNNNNNNNNNNNNNNNNNNNNNNNNNNNNNNNNNNNNNNNNNNNNNNNNNNNNNNNNNNNNNNNNNNNNNNNNNNNNNNNNNNNNNNNNNNNNNNNNNNNNNNNNNNNNNNNNNNNNNNNNNNNNNNNNNNNNNNNNNNNNNNNNNNNNNNNNNNNNNNNNNNNNNNNNNNNNNNNNNNNNNNNNNNNNNNNNNNNNNNNNNNNNNNNNNNNNNNNNNNNNNNNNNNNNNNNNNNNNNNNNNNNNNNNNNNNNNNNNNNNNNNNNNNNNNNNNNNNNNNNNNNNNNNNNNNNNNNNNNNNNNNNNNNNNNNNNNNNNNNNNNNNNNNNNNNNNNNNNNNNNNNNNNNNNNNNNNNNNNNNNNNNNNNNNNNNNNNNNNNNNNNNNNNNNNNNNNNNNNNNNNNNNNNNNNNNNNNNNNNNNNNNNNNNNNNNNNNNNNNNNNNNNNNNNNNNNNNNNNNNNNNNNNNNNNNNNNNNNNNNNNNNNNNNNNNNNNNNNNNNNNNNNNNNNNNNNNNNNNNNNNNNNNNNNNNNNNNNNNNNNNNNNNNNNNNNNNNNNNNNNNNNNNNNNNNNNNNNNNNNNNNNNNNNNNNNNNNNNNNNNNNNNNNNNNNNNNNNNNNNNNNNNNNNNNNNNNNNNNNNNNNNNNNNNNNNNNNNNNNNNNNNNNNNNNNNNNNNNNNNNNNNNNNNNNNNNNNNNNNNNNNNNNNNNNNNNNNNNNNNNNNNNNNNNNNNNNNNNNNNNNNNAUUAGUCCUUGUCUUUGUCUCGCCGUCUGAACUAGGUCCCUCAUCGGAAAAAUUUGUGGAAUACGUCCCUAUUUUUGCAAAACGUCUGGAGCCAGUCCUCGCCGGAGCCCGGAGCUCAGGCGAGUGAUGAAAUGGCAUGAUGACUGUGUAAAUGAAGCUGACAUGGCACUAAAAAAAAAAUAAAAAAUUAAAAAAUUUACACAUCAUAUAAUUAAUCUAAUUAAACAUAUUUCUAAUUGUAACUCAAAUCUAAUUAACCAAUUUUAAUUCUCCCCAAACUUAUCCUAAUUCUCCCCCCAAAUUACCCCAAUUCCCAAUUGCAUCUCCUCAGAAACAUUUCAUUAAAUAGAUCUCAUCUUCUUCUUGUUUAUCUUCAUCUUCUUAUUUAUCUUCAGACCUUUUUUUUUUGAAUGCCAAACUAAUAUUAAUACAAUAGAAAAAAUGCACCAGGAUUGCAAAGAGACAAUUACAAGGAAAAAGAAAGAGUAGGAAACGCAAGCAGCAAAAGGCAAAACAGACCCAAAACAAGCUCACUAACACAGAGGAGCCAUCUUCAGACCUUCUUCAUCUUCAUCAUUUUCUUCAUAACUAAAAACUCAUAUCUCAACCCAGAAAACCAACUUCUCACCCACCCUCUUCCCUCAACCCCACCCAAGACAACACUUAUUUCAGAUCCACAACCACCAACAAACCGACAACCACAUCUACCCAGAAACACAGCGAACCAAACAUCUCUCUCCCCUGCAUCUCCAACCUUAACCCAAACUCAAAGCUUCCACGAACUCAGCCACUCCAACACCUCGACCCCUAAUUGCACACCCAACCUGCCAACCAGAUCAAAACGUGCAAGUACCAGAUCGAAGCUUUGUGGCACUAAAGGUUGAAACUUUUCCAAAGGGGUUUUCUUCCUGUGCUUUGUGCCAUAUCGAAACAUGCAAGUACCAGAUCGAAGGUUUCUCUUCCUGGGUUUUGUUUUUAAAGCUUUGGCUCUGUCUGAAGCCCCUUUUCUCCUCCCUCAGUGCCUCUCCUACCGAUCUCUCAAUCUCUCGGAUCUGGGUUUGUGCUAGGUGUGAAGGUUGGUUGUUUCUGAAGAAGAACGAAGGCAGGGUUAGAGUUGGAUGCUCGAAUGCAAUGGAGAUGGAGAAGAAGAAAGAACUUAGGGUUCAGAUUAGAAAAGGUUUCUGGGCUAUGUUAGGUGAUGCAAUUGGGAUUUUGGGUAAUUUGGGGGGAUUAGGAUAAGUUUGGGGGAAUUAAAAUUGGUUAAUUAGAUUUGAGUUACAAUUAGAAAUAUGUUUAAUUAGAUUAAUUAUAUGAUGUGUAAAUUUUUUAAUUUUUUAAUUUUUUUUAGUGUCAUGUCAGCUUCAUUUACACAGUCAUCAUGCCAUUUCAUCACUCGCCGGAGCUCCGGGCUCCGGCGAGGACCGGCUCCAGACGUUUUGCAAAAAUAGGGACGUAUUCCACAAAUUUUUCCGAUGAAGGACCUAGUUCAGACGGCGAGACAAAGACAGGGACUAAUUUGAGGAUUAAGCCUUUAUUUUUUGGUUGGCUUUUGUCUUGCUGCCUUGGACUGAUUAGGAGUGUUGCAGAUGGAGGUAAUUUCAAAUUUUUUCUUCCAUUGCUUGAAUAGCUAAUUGUACUUCAAAUUGUGCUGGUGGAAUUUAUAAGGUAACUCAACUUGCUUUUGUUGAAUUACCAUAUUGCACCUAAAUUUUAUUUCCAAAACAAAUCUAUCUUGACUAAUUUGAAAAUUUUAAAUCUGAGAAACUUUUUCAUCGACAAGGGAGAGACAGAUCCCUCUUAUGUUGGAAAGUGAGUUAUUUUGCCCUCAGUAGGUUGCUAGGUUUAUUGGAAUUCCUACGUGUGCAAUACCCAAUGGAGCAAAUUAGAGAUCUUUACAUGACUCAUAUGGCGCACCAGGUGAACUCUGACUAAAUAGCAACAACGUUAGUAGAUGGGUCUAAUCUGGGUAAGUCAUGUGAUUGUUUGAUCUUUCCUGUCCUUAGGUUCGCGUGGAGUUUAUACUUGCAUUUACAGAUAGUUGUAAAUUUCUUUUGAUUUUGCUUUGCUAUGCUCAUUUAGGUUUGGGAGAUUUUGGUUCUGUUUUGCUUUGAUAGUAUACCUCUAAAGGUCAUUCCUUUCCUUGGAGUGAAUUAAGUUAUUUAAAGUUAUAUUCUUGGUAGGUUUUGUUUGUCAAGUUAUAUUCUUGGUAGGUCAUUAAUUUCCUUCAUUGUUGUAUCUUAGUAAACGUAGGCCCAUUUUCCAGAGCUCCUGCUACAUGUUUUUUGGUAAUUUUAAAUUUAUAGGUAAAUUAAAUUAAAGCAAGCAAUGGUAAUUUUGUUAAUGAUAAUCUUGGUCUCCUUUAAUGAGUUUAUAAGCACAAGUAGUAAGUACUCAUGGGUUAGUUUAAAUCUGAUAUCAUGCAUUGCCUAAGAAUGACUAAAAGAGGAUUAUAAUUUGAUUGAAAAUUUAGAUAAUAAGUAUUUCACUUUGUAGUUUAUAUUGUAAUCAAUUUUUUUUUAUAGAACAACAAACUCUGAGGCUUGAGACUCCAUUAAAGUGAUGCCAAAUUGUUGAAGGAUAAGUCAAGGCAGCUGUUGAGCCCAAGCUGGGUGUUUGCUGACCAAAAUCGUUUUGAUGGCUAAAUUUUCAUUUGCAUAUGGUGUAUUAUAAUGCUUAAGAUAGAAGAGAAUACUUGGAAUCCCUCUUAUGUGAGUGUCAGAAAGAAGAAGUUGCACUAGUAUAUUUAACCAAUUUUAGUCCUUUUACUUAUUGACGGGGGUGUGUACAAAAUUUCAGGUGGCCUUUUGAUGGGUGAGAAAAAAGAUUCAGGUUUAUAAAUGAAUCUCCUUUAUUAGGAGAUCUUGAAAAUUCUCCUCUAUGUUUUUCUUUGUUUGGUAGGUUUCAACACUUCGAGUAUAUUCAGAUUUUUAACCUUAGAAAUAAAAAUUUAAUAGUAAAAUUAUGUGGUUCAAGGAUUAAAAAAAAUUCAUGUGUAUGUAUAUACAUAUGAUUACAAUUAAUUAAACUUAAAUCACACGGAAAGAAACUUUUAUGAAAAAAAAAUUGAUAUUAAAACUAAUAUAAAAGUUUAAUAUAAUUUAAAGUGUUUUUUUCACAACUUUUUAUAUUUAUAUAAAUAAAACUAUAGAUUGCACGAAAUGCACAAGUUUCAAUUUAAGUCUUUUUGUCCAUUUUGCUCAUCAUUCCAAGCUCUUCUAUUUCAUUUGUUGUUUAUUAAUUUUUUAAUAAUCAAGGUAUUGAUUGAUGUAUCAAAUACAAUAGACAUAUUGCCCGUGCAACGCGCGGGUAAAAUAAAAAAUAGAACCAGAUACAUGAGAAGAAGAAUGCUGGCAAAUCUAGUUUCCUCCAUAGUCCAUAGUCUAUAAAAAUCGAUGAUUUCAAACUUUAGAAAGCAGAGCAAGCAAGCAAAUCAUCAUGCUUCUCAACUCAAAGGACAAAAGGGUAUCCCCACACGAGUCCUAUGGCUUGGAACCACAAAGUGCCUGAUCCUCCCUUCUUGUUCCCUCAAAUACCCUUCACAAAGAAACGCCUUCGAGAAUUCAUCUUCCACUUUCCUAUCAACAUCAUGAACAAACACAUCAGUUUCACCAUGCUCUCUGUUCCUCGCCAUCAACCCCGCCGUGUAAAUCGCGCUCAUCCUCCCCGGAGCAUCGUCAAAGUACCCCGUCGGCGCAUCCACCAUGAUCACAUCCCAAUCCACAUCGUAAACAUCAGCUGGAAACCCCUUGUGCGCUAACCUGCACUGGGAGAAUCUCGGGUCCGACACAGUUUUGCAAUCAUGUUCCAUUCCAGUGUUCAUGAGUUCAUCGGAUUGGUAAACCUUGGUGUCGUACAUUACAUGGUAGGAUUCUAAGGUGGGUAGUUUCUGCUGGAUUUGGUCGAUCCAGGACUUGUCUUCCUCGAGGAAGACGGUUCGGCCGCCGUGGUUGAGCGCCGUCCACAUUAGGCUGUCGAGGCCGAGGCCGAAUACGAGGAAGUUGCAGGGAGAUUUCUUCUGGAGGAUUCUUGCGGAGACUGAUAUUUCGUUGAAGGUUUGUUGUGGGGUGAUGUUGGUGGUGGCGUAGUGGAUUAGAGCAUUGGUUAAGGAUGGUGGCGCUUUGGUGCAUGUGGGGGUUAAGGGGAGUGAUGGGCAUGCUGCUGUUGUGGCGGUUUCUGUUGAAAUUGUUGUGGGUUGCUGUGGCGGUUGUUGUUCUGCUGAACUUGAAAUUGUUGUUAUCUUUGAGUUGGUCAGUUGUUGCUGGGAAAAUGGGGAUGAAGUUGAACGGAUUAGCAAGAUGAAGAGGAUGAGAGAAACGAGGGCGAUAAGGGCUAGCUUGAGAGUACAUGUGAAUUGGGUUUUGGAUCUCAUGGUUUCUUGAUA
rnacentral:lncRNA from 1 species